CAACCCUAAACCUAACCCAAACCCAAAUUAGGCAUGGACUAACAUCCCAAAUCUCUCUCUCUCUCUCUCUCUCUCUCUCUCUCACGCACACACACUCCGAAUUUAAGUAAUUUUUCUUGAACAGACAAUAUGCACUACGCUAAUUUUUUAUUCACCACCAGCCCACAUGUUUUCCUUGUGUUUCCUUAAUCCAGGCCUUGCUACAAAUUCUAUUCUGGCAGAAAAUUAACAGAAUUUCCUUCCUGGUUUCUUUUCAUCCACUGUUCCGAGAGCAUGCAGUUUCUUACCAGCUAUCGUGUUGUCCGUCUUUCAGGGCCUUUGUGCCCAGGUGUCUGCUCACAGUUAUUUAUCCCUCCAUGUGUCCUUGCUGCUCUACCUCUCAAUACCCUAAACCUCCCCCACCUUGUCUGCUCUAAAGCCUCACUAUCGACCACCCGAAACACACAUUUUUCUCUUAUAUUUCAUCAAAUACUAACCAAUUUAGCACCCAAGUUGAUCACUCAAUGCGUUAAUAGAUGUUUCUGGGUGUUGAUUUAAACUUGAUUAUCGUCGGUAAUCUCGAGCCCUCUUUGAUUUUGGUUAAAGUUCAGCUGGGUUUAGGAUCCGGGUGCUACAUUUUUUUUGGCUAGCAGAGUGGGGUGGGCAGUUUGUGAUACAAAGAGACACAGGCUGCAUGGGAGGUGAUACAUGUCUUAGUGCCAAGUGCACACCUACUCUCAUUGUUAUCAUGUCGAAAGUUGUCCAUAUCCUCCUCUUCUUUUUCUAAACAGAGUGUGUGGACAUAAAUUCAAAUGUCACUCGGAAUCCUUCCAAAAACAAGAAGCAUCAACCACCUUUCAUGAGCCAUGACAAACAUGUAAACUUGUCACCUUACUCGAUAUGUUUGCCAAGUAAUCCCACAAAUUCCAAUACAAUUCUUCUAUAAAGAACACCGUAUGCUCUCCCUCCCUUUCACCACUGCCCCAUUUUCUCUACUGCGCGCAAUGGCUCCCUCUCUUCACUGCCUCCCCGUUUUCUUUGCUCUUAUCAUCUUGGUAGCAGCUGAUCAGCAGCCCCCAACCACUCUCCUGACUAAUGACAGUGUCUCUUCCAGGCCUAAUGCUCUUGUCCUGCUCGUUAGCAAGAACGAGGCAACGAAUCUUCAUGUAGUAGACAUCCAAAAGAGGACUCCUCUGAAGCCAGUCCCCCUGGUUCUGGAUGUAAAUGGGCGGUCGUUGUGGGUUGAUUGCGAGAGCAACUACCUGUCAUCAACCUACAACGCCCCACAGUGCCACUCCACUCAGUGCUCUAGAGCCAACCUUCACGACUGCCGCACUUGCUCGGCCCAAACCAGGCCCGGCUGCCACAACAACACAUGCGGGCUCAACGCGGCGAACCCUAUCUCCGGGGAGACCGCCUUCGGUGAGCUCGCCCAAGAUGUCCUCUCAAUUCCAUCCACAGAUGGGUCUAGCCUCGGGCAAUUGGUCACUAUCCCUCAGUUCCUCUUCGCUUGUGCGCCUUCCUCUCUGGCACAAAAGGGGUUCCCACCUGCUGUACAAGGAGUUGUUGGCUUAGGCCACACUUCGAUUGCCCUACCGACUCAACUGGCUUCCCACUUUGGAUUCCAACAGAAGUUUGCUCUGUGCCUCACUUCCCCACUUAACCAUGGAGUACUUUUCUUGGGAGAAGCCCCCUACAGACUACAUCCCGGCAUCGACGUCUCACAUCCACUAGGCUCUACCCCACUAUCCAUCAGCAGAGAAGGCGAGUACUUCAUACAAGUGACAUCAAUAAGGAUCAAUGAGAGGGUCGUCCCAGUGAACCCGGCCUUGUUAAACAGAAGACCUGGUUCGACUCUGAUCAGCACCACAACGCCUUACACCGUCCUGGAACACUCAAUCUACCAAACUUUCACUCAGUUCUACGCGAACCAGAUGUCGUGGGCACCCCGGGUGCAACCAAUUGCACCCUUUGGGCUGUGCUUUGACGCGACUAAGAUGACUGCAACGCAAAUCGGGCCUGAAGUUGCUAACAUUGAUCUUGUAUUGCACAACCGUAACAACGUAUGGAGGAUUGUUGGCGCAAACUCAAUGGUACAGCCGCGACCUGGGGUCUGGUGCUUAGGCUUUGUGGAUGGAGGAUCCAACCCUAAAGCUCCAAUUAUUCUAGGGUCAUAUCAGUUGGAGGACAAUCUUCUGCAGUUUGAUCUGGCUAGGUCAAAGCUGGGCUUCAGCUCUUCGCUGCUAUUCCGUGGAACUCAUUGUGGUAACUUCUUCGUAGGCUCCGCCCAAACCUCAGCUGCAAAGGAGGAGAAGCAUGUGUAGGCAUAAGUGUGAUAGCUUCUUCCUCUUUUUUGGUGUAUUAGAUCAUGUACAUCUGAAGUUGUACUUGUCUUUCUGCACUAAGUUUUUCUAAGAUGAAUAAAUAAAUGGUGGGGUGAUGUUGUGUUUAUGAUGGCAGCCAAUUUUCAGUCAACUAACAUGUUCGAAUGGAUCAUAGAUUAUCAAGGCUAGACAUAAUUGAACUGAAUUGAAUGGUGAAAAAUCAAGUCUCUGCAAAUUCUUCCAUAAUCUAAACAACCCGGCCGGAUCCCCAAAAAUGCCCAUGAUCACCAUAGAAACACAUCAUAGAUCCUAACCAGUGUGCAUGUGAAUUCAAAAAUCUAAGCAAGAAAAAUGAUUUGUAUUCAAGUUUGAAUGAUGGCUGUAUGAUGAGCAUCAUGUCAAAUUCCAUAAAAGUCCGCCAUAUUUUUCAUUGGAUGCUAAUUGGUUUUCAGAUGGAUUAGACAUCGACACUGAUCCGUCCAUCAGCAAUGAUGAGAAAACUCAAAUGAGCAAAUCUGGAUUAACUUCCAAGUAUGAAAAAUGAAACCUUAAAAAACCAUGCAAAAAAGCAACGUUGGAUUCAAUGGAUCAUUCUUUAUACUCGUGGUAUUAUUAAUGCUCAUACCUGCAUCAAUCUAUACCUUCAACAACUCCAAAACCCUUUAUUUAUGCUUGUCCAAAAGUGAAUAAAUGCCAAAUAUUUAAGUUAAUACAUACAAAAUUAAUCACAUAUAUACCAAGAGAGAGAGAGAGAGAGAAAUUCCACAAGUGAAUCUUUUUUAAUCUCUAAUUUCUUUAUUAUUGGAUUGUAAAGUUUGAAUCAAUUUUAUUGUAUUUUGCUGGGGAUGUCGGGAUUUGAGCUUCCCGCUAAGCUCGUUAGAGAAUUUUUUUUAAUAUGAUGAAUAACGAGUUUGCCCUUAUUAAAUAUUUAACUCUUAUAUAUUUUAGGUUUUUCUUUUUAGAUAACAUAAUCAUAAUUGAGAAUAGUUUUUUAGAACUUCAUCAUUAUAUUGCCUCACGUUUCUUUUGAUUAGUAGAUUCUUGAGUAUUUGUGUACUCUAUGGACAUAACCACGUUAAAAGUCUUAUCUUUAUAUAUAUAGAAAGAGUAUCUUUACACUUUAAUAUUGUUAUCAAUGAGUAUAAUUUUGUUUGCAAGAUUGGAGCAAGGAGGUCCUAUUCACAAUCAAGUUAUUUGGUGGAAAUCAUCACCUAACAUUGAUUCCUUUCACAAUCAAGUUAUUAAUUGGAUGUGCGGGUGAGUGUAAACUUAGGUGGUUUAUUUUCAAUUAAUUAGUAAUGAUAAAAAGUAGGUGGCACUCACCCUUUAUGUAAGAUUUAUUUUCUAUUUUUGUAUAAAAUACUUUUUUUUGUACCAUUGAAAAAUAGAAGGAUUAUGAUAUGUCUUUAUCAUUGUAAUCUUUGCUCAAUUCAAUUCAUCUUCACCUCUGCCUGAGCUAUUUUUUAAGAACUGGUAUAGACAAAAAAAAAAAAAAAAAUUAUCUUUUUUUUUUUUUUGAGAACUGUUUUUUUUUUAAAAAAAAUACCAAAUUAGCUAUAAAUUAAUUAAAAUCAUAUAAUGAUAUAUACUAAGCAAAUUAUUAAUUAAUAAUUAAUAAUUUAUAAUAAUUAUAUAUGAAGAAUUCUAUCUACUAAAAAUGUAACCAUCAAGUUUUUGAAUUAAAUUUCCAUAUCAUCACAUGGAUUUACAUAUACUUAUUUCAGAGCUUGGAUUCAAAGUGGCACUUAUUCUGACCACUAAAUCACAUCUUAAACAUUUGACUAUUUUUGUCCUAUAUUUUAAGUGCGUGGUAGUGAUUUGAGAAAAUAUUUAUAACAUUCCUAAUAUUUAAAAAAUAAAAACUUUUAAAUGUUAGAAAUGUUAAAGACGUUUCCUAAAAUCAUUAUCGAACGAACUCUUAUCUUUUAAUUUUUCUUUUAAAUGUAUUUACUAGAAUUUACAUCUUCAAACUAUGACUUUAAUAUGAAUUUUAAAACCAUAUCUUAAAACUAUAUAAUUUAGCAUGUGUUUCAAGAUCAUGUUUUGAAAGUACAACUUCUACUUUUUUUACAAACUAUUUAAAUUUAAAUUUUUUAAAUUAGGAAAAUAUUAAGGUACGGUAUUUAUAACCAAUUUAUAAUCUCUAUGAUUAAAAUGUAUAUCUUUAAUAAAAUCUAAAUCAUUGGAUGAGAACAUAAAUAUGUAACAUUAUAAAUAAAUAAUAUCAUAACAAAUGAGAUUUCAUUAAAUACUUCUUUUAUUUUGAAUUGAAUGGAAUGUCGGUAGGAAUGAUAAAUAAGAAGAUCGGUGAGUCAGAUAUUUGAUCAAAUUUGUUUCCAAGUGAAGCAUGAAACCAUGAAAAUAAAUUGCAAAGUAGGUGUUGUGAUUGGUUUUUCCAUAAAGUUCAUCUUAUACCUAUGAAAUAUGAAUGCCCAUGACCUACAUUUUAUCAAUUAAAAUGGUCAAUUUGACCCAAAAUUCCUCCUUUCACAUGUACCUUCUUUCCAAAUUUGUCGUUAUACAUGGUAAAUGCCACACAACAUUACAUCAUAGUUUCAUGUGGGGUGGGUACCCUACAAUUAAAGCCAUGCCGCUCAUCUUUGGUCACCCAUCCCUCUCAUGGGGCCCAAUUACUUAUCUCUUUCCAAGACUGGUCACACUCAGACCCAUCAGACCAUCAAGCUUCAUCACUAAAUAGUCCUCUCCUACCCUCGUGGAUUAUUCAACCAUGGCUUCCUUGCCACAAGCCCACUUAUUUUCUCUCAUUUUGCUCUCUCUCACAUCAUUCUCCAUCUCCCAAACACCCUUAAUCCACCCUAAUGCUCUUGUUCUUCCCCUCACUAAACAUGCCUCAACUCUCCAAUAUGUCACCAUUAUCAGCCAAAGGACACCCCUAGUGCCCUUGAACGUUAUUGUGGAUCUUGGUGGCCAGUUUCUAUGGGUUGGUUGUGGCUCCAAUUAUGUCUCGUCUUCCUACCGCCCGGCUCAAUGCCACUCGAGCCAGUGCUUCUUAGCCCAUGGUCCCAAAAGUUGUGACCAUUGCCUGUCUAGGGGUAGACCCAAGUGUAACAAUGGGACAUGCAUUUUGUUCUCAGAAAAUGUGUUUACUAGCAAAGUCUCAGCUGGGGACCUCAGUGAGGAUGUGCUCAGUCUCCAAUCCACAGAUGGCCUAAACCCUAGAAGUGCGGUGGCUAUUCCCCAUUUUCUAUUCUCAUGUGCCCCAGAGGUUCUCUUACAAGGCCUUGCUGGUGGGGCUGAAGGAAUUGCAGGCCUCGGCCAUGGCAGAAUUGGGCUGCCUACACUGCUCUCCUCUGCACUCAACUUCACCAGAAAAUUCGCCGUCUGCCUUCCUCCAACCACAACCUCAAGUGGGGUUAUCUUUUUUGGCGAUGGGCCUUAUGCUUUGCUCCCGGGCAUUGAUGUAUCCAAGCUACUCAUCUACACUCCUCUUAUCAAAAACCCUAGAAGCGUGGCCACUAGGGUUUAUGUCACUGAACCUUUGCCUUCAUAUGAGUAUUUCAUCAGGGUUAAGUCGAUUCAAAUCAAUGGAAAACAAGUACCAUUGGAUUCAUCACUGUUAGCUAUCAACAAGAACGGCAUUGGUGGGACAAAGAUCAGCACUGUAAAUCCCUACACUCUGCUACAAACCUCCAUAUACAAUUCCUUCACCAAGCUUUUUCUGCAAGAGGCCAUGGCACAUAAUGUUACUAGGGUUUCUCCGGUAGCGCCAUUCGAUGUUUGUUUUAGCACAAAAAACACCAAUGGAGCUUUUUCUACUCCUGCCAUUCCUGUUAUUGAUCUUGUGUUGCAGAAUAAGAAGGUGUUUUGGAGGAUUUUUGAGACCAAUUCCAUGGUGCUGGUGGGUGAUGAUGUUGCUUGCCUAGGGUUUUUGGAUGGUGGGUUGAACCAAAGGACUUCAAUUGUGAUUGGAGGGCACCAAUUGGAGGAUAAUCUUCUGCAGUUUGAUCUUGAAUCAUCAAGGUUGGGGUUUACUUCUUCACUGCUGUUAAGGGAGACCAGUUGUGCCAAUUUUAAUUUUACAUCUAGCCUUUGAUAUUUGAUUAAGUACUUAUUUAAUUUUAAGUAAGAAACAAGUUCAAUUUCCAUGGUGGCAACCUUCAAAAUGCGAAUCUCCAAAAACAAAUAAUAAAAGAGCUUGUAAUUUUUAAGAAAUGUGAUAUGUAUAUUAAGUCCAAAUCAUAUAAGCUUAAAGUUUUAGGUUAAAACCAUCUUUUCGUAAUUUGCAUGUUUAUUUCACGGGGUAUCGGUUUUACAAUUCGUUUAGAUUUUCCGACCCAUGGUUAUAGGAUUCAACAGUAAUCACAACUUCUAACCAGGCUUAAAGGGUAGAGAGAACAGACCCACAUCGAAAAAGGAUAGAGAGAAAUUCCAAAAUGAAACUUCAUAAACGGUGACCCUUCAUGAUUUGAAAAAAAAAAAAACAAACUGAUCAAUUUUUCUGCUUUAAGAUUAAGAUCCAACAUGGUUUCCAAGACCAAGCUAGCCGAAGGUGGAAAAGUGUCCUGCAAAUUUUAGGGGUUCCCCACUUUGCAGUGCCUGCUAUACUCAAUAGAGCUUUCAUGUACAAAUAGCAGAAGAUAGCAAUGAAUGGCCUGCAACAAUUGAAUACUUGAUGGACCACUCUCACAUUUGCUUCUCUGCAGUCUACACUCACGGAGGUAGAUUACGGGUUUGAAGCCCAAUCUUGGAUCAAAUUAGACCGUUUGAUCAUAAAAAUUGACUGUUUUGACCCUUUUUUUAAAAACUUGCAUUAAAUAUGAACUGUUUUUUUCCAUUGUCUCGUAUUAUCCUGAUGUGAAAAUGAAGUUUCAAUGGACAAUUACGACUUUAUUUUUGAACUGAUGUAUCGAUUCAUGGGGCCCAAUGACUCUUUAUUUAUGGUAACAAAUCUCAAUCUAUCAUGGGUGUGGACAUACACAAGAUUGUACUUUUUUCUCCUAAUAAAAAAGUUUAAUGGAAUAAUUUCUGAAUCCUAACAAAUUAUUCGGAAUAGAUGGUGUCACAUGGUCAUCUCAGAUUUUAUUAUUUUAUAUCAAAUUUGAUCUUAAUGUUUUGUAUUUUAUUCUUAUUAUUUGGUGCUUUGAUAUAAUUUGUGUAUAUUUAAUCUCAUUUAUUUAUAUAUCUUACAAUUUUCUUUAAUUUUAAAAUUUUAUUUAAAAAUUGACGUCUCGAACAUUAAAUUUAACUUAAUAUAUAUUUGUAUUGUCAUCUAAUAACUUAAAACCUUACAAUUCUUUAAUAAUUUAUAUUUUUAAAUAAAAAAUAUUAUAUUUUUGUUAAUUUUUAAAUAUUUUCUUUUAGAAACUUAAAAACAUUAUCUCAAUAAAUUUUUUGUUUUGGAAAAAAAAUAUAAAAGUUGAUAACUUGGUAUGAAUACACUAAUCCCAUCAUAUUUUUAGUCUUUUUCUUUGAAAAAUAAAUGACAGAACUAAUUGACAUUGUUAGAUUAAAAAAAAACAAAAGAAAGAAAGAAAGAGUGAAUUGAAUAACAUUAGCUUUUCAGAUUAGAAUAUGAGAACAAAAAUUUUAAAAAUGAAAAGGUUAAUCUGAUGACAUUUUAAAACUUUUUCUUAAAAAAAGAAAAGAAAAAGCUAAGAACCAAACUUUAAAACAAAAAGAAAAAAAAAAUUACUCAAUUUUUGGGCUUAAUUUCAUUCCAUUUCCUUAUAAUUUUGAGUAAAUACAUCUAGUUUUCAUUAAUUUGAAAAUUCAUCAAAUACCACUUAUAUCAUUUUUAUUUGUUAUUUCCACUCACUUCUCAUUUCAUUAAAAAUAAUAAAAUUUAAUGAAAUUUCAAACAAAUAAGAGUCAGGUGUUUUCAAUUAAAAUCCGAGGAGAAGUAAAUGAAAUAAACCAUUAUUAUUUUCAUCAUUCAAGAGAAAAAAUAAAAAAAAAAUAUAGCACCAAUCACAUUAGUCUUUUCUCUCAUAUAUACAUAAUGGGAUAAAUUAAUAGUUUUCUUUUAGGAUGAAUGAGAAGAAGAUUUGAGAAAAUAAGUGUGGCACUUUUCAACCACAUUGGUAAAGGUAGAAGCAUACGACAAUUGGAUGGCUAGAAUUGCCUUCAAGUGAGGAUUGCCUCAUAAUUCUAAUUUUUGUAUAGGUUGCUACGCAAGAAAAAAAAUAAAACUUGCAAGUAUGAAAAAGUCUUUCUCUAAGGCUUAUAAGUACUCUAAAUUGGAAGAAGACAUGGUGAACUCCUAACUUAAGGUUAUACUAGCCACCGACUACAAAGAAAAAAGACAAUUGAUGAGAUUGGGUGCAUCUCAAUGAGGCAAACGAGCACGUAUUAUGAGAAUCGAUGGGGUGUGCAUAGAGUCAAAGCAACAAAUGGAAAUAUAAGCUUGACAUUAGCUAAUUGGAUGUACCUUAUAUACAAGCAUUUAACAAUUAUGUAAACUUCAAAUUGUUAAUGGCCCCUUUAGGCUAAAGGAGAUCUUUUGAACCAUGACAAGAAUCAAUAUUGUGAGUAUCAUAGACUGCAUAGACAUAGAAUGCAUAAGCUUGAAGCACGUAAUAAAAAUGCAUGUGAAAAUGUGUGAGUUAUGCUAGUUCCUUGCCAUCCUUAGCGAUGGAGUUCGAUAAGCACAACAACUUGAUAACCUCUCUAAUGACAAUGUGUAUGAAAGAUUAGGGCAUGUUGUUUCAAUCAUACAUAGUGGAAAUCUACCAACUUGGAGUAGGUUGACCAAUUUAGAGUCAACAUUUGACUAGUUAACAUACGCUUAGGUGGUAGCAAAGGUUUGGCUUUUACACAAGCAAGUGGUUGAGAAAUGUCAAAACCAUAUAACGAGCAUUGGUGGUAACCUUGUUAUCGUAAAUUGUGAAGUGCAACAUAUUUUGGUUGAUCUAGACAACUUAGUUGAUAUCUGAUUCAUAAACACUUUUAUAAGAAUAGGGUUACCUUCCAACCAGUUGACUUCAAUAACAAGUUCCCUUGCAAGUUUAAUGGGUGCUUUGUUAGUCCAAUAAGUGAAGUGAUAUUUCUAGCAUUACACUUACAAUUAUUAUGGUAAAGUUCCUUGUAGUGUAUGUUACUUUUAUUUAUAAUAUGAUCUUGGGAUGAAGUUUAAUUCAUCCAAUAAAGGCAAAAUUGGACAAAGUUGAAUUAAAUUUUGAAGUUGAUUUAACAUCAUCCCAUUAAAGAAAAUCAAUUACAUUUCAAUACCCUAUGUCAUUAACAAUGAGACGAAACUCAGGUGUGUGACCUACUAUUUACUAUAUGCAGAUUCUUUAUGAACUGAUGUAUGUAAUCCAAUAAGGUAGUAGUAUCACCUAUAUAUCAAGAUUACUUCACCAAUCAUUGAGUUAUAAUUCCCACUUUUUAUGUGAUAAAUUAGUAUACUCUAUCUCUAAGGAAUAUAUGUCAAAUUUCUACUAAAAGAAAUGUUAUGGUCAUGGUUUUCUAGAUUGCAUAUCCUCUAGAUCAUCCAAGAAGACACAUUGUCUCAAACAUAUGAGAUAUCAUAGUAUUUUUAUUAAGAAUACAUGUUAUCACCAGUUUCUAUCAAUAAUGACCCAAUCCAUAGGGAUGUAUGACCACUUUAGGGUUUCACCUAUAAGUCAAAACCUCAUGUUGACUUUGACACAAACUCAAUAUCCUUUUAAGAUUGAGAGUCCAUACAACAUAAUAACUCGGUGAAUCAUGACAAUUGAUAGUCUUACGUCAUGAUUCACCGUAAAUCAUUUUCAAUGUGUAAUCAUAUAUAUUAGUGCACUCAUCAUGAGAAAUUAAUCCUAAUAUUCAAGAUAAAUCAUCCAUUUAAUUAAGAGGUAUUAUAGUCUUUAUUGGAUUGCUCAAAUCUAUAAACUGAUUAUGAACCAAUUAUCAACUUACAAGGAACUAUCCCUAUGACAAUCAAAGACUCUAGUAGACAAAGUCUUCAUAAAGGGAUCAACAAGUUCUUCGUAGAAGCAAGAUCUUCUCCACAACCACAUCUUCUUUCAUUACUAUCUCACGUAUCAAGUAAUACUUCCUCUCAAUAUGUUUACCCUUCUAGUGGUUCCUUAGUUUUUUAAAUUGUAUCACCGCCUCACUGUUAUUACAAAACAAUGUCAGGGACGAUACAACCAAGGGUACUAUCCUAAGCUCCAUUAAAAACUUCCGAAGCCAACGACUUCCUCUAUUACCUUAUAAGCAAUAGCAUACUCAAUUUCCAUAGUGGAAUGAACGUAAUACGAGAUUGUUUUACACUUCUCCAACUAACAAUCCCACCACCUACAAUUGACACAAACUCAAAAGUAAGCUUGCAAGAGUCUUUAUCAUAUUCAAAUUAAGUUUGAAUUUAUAUACCUAAUGAUAGAGACCUUGGAUUUCUCCAUUCUCAAACCUUAGAUUGUAUAGGUACAUGCAAAUCUACCCUAAGCUUCUUUAAAAACUAAUCCAAACGAAAGCAUGACUUUUAAAACCAUUUAGAUUAACAAAACUAAGGAAAAAAACAUUCAUACAUGGGUUUGGAUGUUCCUAGAUCAAUUUAUUGCAUUGAAAUAGAUGUCUAAAUACUUUGGAAGUCUCAUACAACCAAAGUCUUCCACCCAAUGACUCAAACUACAACCUUGGCACUCUAAAUAGUGAACUUUGGAAGGGAAUAUGCCUUGGCUCUCUCUCUCUCUCUCUCUCUCUAUGGAUGUGGAAGAUGACAAUCAAAAGCCUUGGAAACCUUAACCCUUAUAGGUAUUUAUAGGAUUCCUUUACUAGGCUUAAGUGACUUAAGCCCACCAAGGCUUUGAUCACUUUUAAUCUAACCUAAAAUAGGUUCUAAUUGAUUAAUUAACCACACAUGGUCAUCUAAUUAAUUAAUUAAUUAACCCAAUCCAAAGACCUUAUUCACUAUUUCCUAUGCAGUCUUACGUAAUUACCAAAAUGCCUUUACACACAAGCGUAAACCUAGGGCUAAUCCAACUCUCACAAAAUAUGUCAUCAUGGUAUAUGAGAUCAAAAUGGAAACCACUAAGACCCACAAGAGUAUUGAUUCCAAUACUCUAUGUAAAUAACAAUGAGACAAAACUUGAGUAUAUGACCUACUAUCCAUUGCAUGCAGAUUGUCCAUGAACUAGUGUUCAUAAUCUAACAAGGUAAUGUUAUCAUCUAUCACUUUUCCAAUUAAGUUACAAAUCUCGCUUAUUAUAUGAUCAAUUGACAUACUCUAGCUCCACGAAGUCUAUGUUAAAUUUUCACUAAAAAAAAUGUUAUGGUCAUUGUCUUUUAGAUCACAUAUAAUUUGGAUCACCCAAUGAGACACACUAUCUCAAUUUCAUGAGAUAUCAUGGUACCUCUAUUGAGAAUAUCUGUUGUCACCAGCUUCCAUCAACAGUGACCUAAUCCAUAGGAAUAUGUGACCACCCUAAGGUUUCACUUAUAAGUCAAAACCUCCUAUUAACUUUGGUACAUGCUCAUAUAAGAUAUUAUCUAUUACAAAAAGAUUAAUAAUUGAAGUAAAUUCAUUUCAAGCAUAGUUGGCAUCCUAAUUUCCUUCCAUGUUAGUACUAGCACAUUCAGUGGUUACCUUUUCCCAAACUUCACCCUCAACCUUUGGAAAAGGGGAUAUGAUUUACUUUACUUGACAUUCUUCAUAGUUGAUGUUAUACCUUAGGUCCUUAGAUUUAACAAAUUGUUGUUAGAGAUGAUAAUGAAUAAGUCUCACAACUUAAGAAUUUCUUCUUCUUUUUUAUGUUCAAACUUGGUGGAAGAGUUUGCUAAGUCAUUUUGUGAUUUCUCGUUUUCUCUUAGCAUUUCCAAAGAUUGCUUGAGUAAAUCCAUGUAUUUCUUCUUCAAGAAUUCGAUUUUUCCUUUCAAUUUUCCUUAUUUACUUUGCAAACUUCUUUAAACUUACUCAAUAGGGCUUUCUUCUCACCUACCAACUUAUCCUUGGUUUGACACUUAGUUUUCAUGUUCUAUUAUUUUUUGACACUUGAUAACAAAUAUCACUAGGAUCUAUAAAAACUGUGAAACCAAGGUUUAGUUAAUUUUGAUUUUGAUGAUAACAAAACAAGGUUUAAAACUAAUGAUUAUAUUUCAAGUGUGAUUAGGCAAGACGAUCUCCAAAGUGGCAAUCACAAAGACAAAUCAAGCCAAGGAGAAAUCAUGAAGAAGAAGACCACCUCAAAGAGAAGUGUUUUUCAAGAUCCAAGCUUCAUAAGAUCUCUUUGUAAGGUUGUUGGUGCACUAGGAUUUUCAUGCAUUACAUUCUUUACUUAUGCACCAAAAUCAUCCAAAAGUUAUUUUGUUUUAAAUAUUUUAAAAUUUGGAUAAUUUCAUGUUUUCAACUAAAACCUUGUGUUAAAUGUUUUUCAAACUUGUUUUAAAAUGUUUUAAGUUGAAAAAGUUGGUUGUUGAGCUAAAAAAUGGCUCAACCGGUUGAACCGGGUGAGGAACCGGUCGAUCACAAGCUCAACCGGUCGAGGUCUGGGUCAACCCACAGCUCAACUGGUCGAGGCCCGCGUAAACCCCCAACUCAACCGAUCGAGGGUGCAAAAAACUUUCUCUUUCUUCCAGAACGGUUGUUCAAAAUGUCAAGGUUGAACCUCAACCGGUUGAGGUUCGGUCGAGGUCCAAUUGAGGCUCAACGGUCACCUGCCAAACAUUAAAUGCUAACGGAGCGUCAACCGGUCGACCCCUAACUCGACCGGUUGAACCCCCAAACGGUUAGUUUGGCUUUUCUCUUCUAUAAAAAGGCUCCAAUCUUCAUUGUUUAAUGAGCUUAACCUUCCCAAACCUUUCUUGAAUAUAUUUGAGCCUUGAAAAAGUGUUUUUGAAUGCACCAUUGUUCUAAAACUUGCAUAUUCUUAGUGCACAUUUCAAUCCUAGUUUUCUUGUAUCAAUUGAGCUUAAAGUUUUUGUACUAGGAUUUUUGUGAGAUCACUCAUUUGUAAAUCCUUGAGAGGAAAUUGUUCAAGAGUGAGAUAUCUCUUGAGAAGUGUAAAGGGUGCUUGGAGCCAAAAGUCCAAGAGGGUGAAUUGGAACCAUAAUCCAAUUGUAUUGCUUGAAGGCUUGGUUUGGAAGCCUUGAAUUAGUGGAACCUCAAGCUCGGGAUUGAAGCUAGAGAAGAGUGGAUGUAGGUCGGGUUGCGCCGAACCACUAUAAACUCUUAUAUUUGCAUUCUCUCUUCCCUACUCUUUAAUUUAUAUGCAAUUGUCUUUAUAUUGCUUAUUAUGUACUUACAUAUAAUUGUCUCUUACAUUCACAUAGUUUAAAUUUGCAAAAAGAGACCAUCACCCUAUUCACCUCCCCCCCUCCUCUAGAGUGAUUAUCAUAGGUUGGAUUAACCUAAUAUUCCUAACAAGAACCAUUCCUUCAAGACAUGAUAUGUUAUAUAGAGAAAAUUUUAUGCAAAAAUUUAAGUCAAUAGAAAAUAUCAUGUUGGUGUCUCCCCAAAGCCUAUGCUCAUAAUUAACGGUUCAUCAUUUUUUCAAUUCCUCUUUGCCAUCAUUUUUUAGGGAUAUAUGCCUCAAAACUUCCUUUUGCAAGGAUAAACCCAAGAUGGUUUUAGAUAAAUCCUCCAACCUAGAGUCACCAUGAGUGAUCUCCUCCCUAGUGGCCCUUAAGUAAGGUAAAUUAUCCUUUAUUUGAGCUCUUUAUGGGAGAAAAUAGGUUUGAUGGUCACUGGUCAACAAUCUUUAUGAGGUUGGAGGAAAAUGACAUACGAACGACUUCAUCUAAAGUUCUAAUUGGAUCAAUCCCUGCAAGUUUUUUCUUGUUAGGUACCUUAUUGCUCAAACACCCACUUGAACUCCCAACUACCUGCAUUUAGCAAGAUCAAAGGGCAUGGUUGGACAUUUUUCAAUCAUCAAUGACUAAAAAAAAAAAAAAAAUUCAUCUCCAAUAGGUUAGUGUCUUUCAUUGGUGUAAUGUAAUCUAGUUGCCUCAUAACUCCAAAUUUUGAUAAGCAUUAUUUUCUAUGAUGAAAAGGUUGUUUCAAAACUUGCAAAGUUAGCAAAAUGAAACUAUUUGGGAGCUUUGUCAAUCCACUUCCUUUCAAGGAACAAGCUUUCUCCUUUUUAGCUUUCUCAAAAGCCUUACAAGUACUUUGAUAUUGUCAUUAUUCACUUUCAUCUAUUAAGUUCGUUGGUGUCAUAAAAUUAAAGGAACAAAAGAAAGAACACUACCAAGAGAAAAAUUGACGGAAGAUAUUUUUAUCUAAGAAAGAUUAUACUUUGUAUUUCUAGAAGACAAAAGGUUAUUCUUCCUAAUAUUAAAUUCCUUUAUCUUUUUCAAUCAAAUACUCUUAAUAUUAAAUCAUAUAGGGGGUGUUUGGUACACGGGAAUAGGGAGUGGGAAUAGACAUCUCAUUCAUUUUCUCCCUUAUUCCUAUGUUUGGAUAAAUGUUAAGAAGGCGGAAAUGAAAUAAAAAAUUAUUCCGGCAGAAAUCAAAUCCAACUUAUGAGUCGGAUUUGCAUUCAUUAAAAGUAGGUGGUAUUCUGAUUCAUUAAACCUAUUUGAUAAUAUAAAAUAACCUAAAUUACUAUUUUACCCUCUUAUCUUGUUCUUUAAACUCGAUGUUUAUCUUCUUUGUAAAGGUAGAGAUCCAUUCAUCAUCCACUUCUUAUCUUCUUUGCAAAGCUAGAGACCCACUCAUCAUCCAAUUCUAUGCAACAAGUGAUUCUUCCAAAUUGAAUCAAUUAAACCUUCCACGAUAUUUUUAAAAAAAAAAAAAUCAAUUUCUAAUUUAUAGGGUUUUGGAUGUUCAUUUUGAUUGUUGGAUCUAGGAUUCGUUAUUGUUUGCUGCAACUAGGUUCUGAAAACUCCCUUCUACAUCUUCGAUCAGGUUUACCUUAUUUUCUCUUUCUUCUUCUACUUCUUUAUAUGUGUUUCUUCUUCUCUAUAAAUCGAUUAAUUUUUUUUUAUUAAUUUAUGUUUGGAAUCUUUGAUGUUUCUUUAUCUUGUAUUAAUGGAAACUAGAGAGAAAAAUUGAAAUGGUUGGAAAAAGAUUUUUUGAUUUCACGUGUUUACAAUAUUGAAAAUUUUUAAUGGUUAGGAAAAAAAUAAAAAGAAAAAAACAAACAAAAACAAAACUUUUGUUCAAUUUAGAUGAAGAUCUCAAGGUUGAAUGGACAAAACAACUUCUUCAAACCCCAUAAAUCUCCAUGUUGCAUCCUUGUUGAUUUAUUGUCUUUAGGUUGGAUUGAUAGAAAUUUUAGGUUGGAUUUUGUUUCAUCAAUUUCCUAUGAACUUUUUUAUUGAUUUGAUGACUUAAUUUUGGAGGAUAUACUAGUUGUAGAUUUUAGUAGAUAUGAUACUUAUAUUGAGAACUAGAAUGAAGUUUGUGUUUUUUUAUUUCCUUUUUUGUAAAUAAGAAAUAAGUAUUUGGUAGCUUUGACAAUUUAUAUGUUCUUAUAUUUUUUUUCUUUUUUUUUUCUUAGUAAAAUAUAAUUCUAUAGCUUUUUUUGCAUGACAAAUUAUUUAAAAUUUUGAUAAAAAAAACGAAUAUUUAAAAUUUUUUAAGGUUAUGGAUUUUAUCGGAUAUGAUACUUGUUGAAAAUUAGAAUAAAUUUGAAUUCUUUUAUUUCCUCUUUUGAAAAUAGGAAAAACAUUUGCUAGCUUUGAGAAUUUAAAUAUUAUAAUAAAUAAUUUUUUUUUGAAAAAUAUAAUUUUAUAACUACUUAAGCAUGACAAAUUAUUCAAAUUUUUAAUAAAAAUAAUAAUUGAAUAUUUGUGCAUUAGGGUUAUUCGAUUUUUUAUGGUUAACUUUUUAUUUAUUGAGUAUAUAUAUAUUUUUUGGUCUUAUUAUUUAAUAACAAAAAACCUUUCAAAUUUUAUUUUUUUAAAAUAAAAAAAUAUUUUAAAUUAUAUGUAAGGAUAUUAUUAUAAAUUUAUUUUUUUUUCAUUUCCAUUCCUAUUAUUAUCAAACAUUGGAAUGGAAACAAAUAAUCAUUCCAAUCUUGUAUUCCUAAGUUCAUCCAAAUGCUAGAAAUGGAAUCAUCAAAUUCAUUCCAUUCCACUAAGAAAUAGGAAAGGAAACAAAAUAUUAUUUCCAUUCCCUAUUCCGACAUACCAAACACCCCCAUAAGGUAUUGAAUCCAAAAAAUCAUAAUGCAAUAAAUAGAGUAAUAUGAUAAAAUAUAUAACUAAAAUACCCUUGAUUUUACAUAAAAUUACAAUAUAUUUGCCAUUGAAAUUGUGUCAUUUAUGCCAUAUUUGAUCCCAAAAAUAUAUUUUAAAAAUAAUUUUUUUUAUAUUUGUUUUUAUUAAAAAAAUAAAAAUAUUUUAAAAUCAUUUAAUCUUUAUAUAAAAAAAUUAUUGACUUUAUUUAUUUUUUCUUUCUUUUUACUUUUCUUCCCUAUUUUCCAAACAUACUCUCGCGGAAGGGAGGCCUUUCUCCACUCCGAAGGCACGAUUCCAAAGGCGAAGGCAUAGUCCGGAAGUCAAUUCUCAGUCCAACGCUGCAAAACCCCAAGAAGCAGCAGCAAUAGAAGAAGAAGAAGAUGCAUUCGUUUGGGUACAGGGCCAACUCUCUUCUCACCUUCGCCGUCACCAUUCUCGCCGUGAUGUGCGCCAUGGCCUCCUUCUCCGACAACCUCAACACCCCCUCGCCCUCCUCCCAAGUCGAGGUCUCUUUUCUCUAUCAAUUUUUCCCUUUUUUUUGGGGUUUUUUGUUUUGUUUUUCAAACCCUAGAUUUGGGUUUGAUUUUGACGGGGAUGUCCUUUUUCGGUGGUUGCAGGUGUUGAGUAUCAAUUGGUUUCAGAGGCAGCCCAAUGGGAACGAUGAGGUGAUUGGUUUUUCGGAUAUUUUUUUAUAAAUAUUUAUUUCGUGAUUGGGUUUCGGAUUUGUUUGAAUUGAAGGGCAUUUGAUUUUGGGUUACAUAAUAUGGUGAGAGUUGCUUUUUGGUUGUGUGGGAAAUUGAGGGCUUGACUUGGGAUUGGAGACUCCAAUUCCAAUUUCAAUUCCACUGUUUGGUUGAAUGGAUUUUCGAUUAGAUUGGAAUUUUAUAGACCUAGAAAAAAGGAAAACAAAUUCGAGGUAAAAGCCAAGAUCCGAAGUUCCAUUGAGUUAGAAUUCUGAAGCAAAUCCAUCUCUCAUGCAGCCAAACCAUCGCUAAUUGAGUUUUCUUGCAUAUUUUCUAUGUAUUUUGAUUUUUUUAUUUGUUUGAUAUAAUUGUUGGGGGUGGUUCGGGGUUCAUAAGGUAGUAAAUUUGAGAUAUAGUGCGCAGUAUUUUUAUAUAUUUUUUUUCAAUUUGCAGUGCCAAAAGUUAAUUUAAUGCAUUGAAUUAGAUAUGGCUCAUUGAAAAUUGAGUACAAAGUCACCAUGUUGUGGUAUUUUCAUUCAAAAUAUCCACUAUCUAUUGUCAUGUAUUUAGUAGGCACUGCAGCAACAAAGAACAAUGAGAAAAUCAUCAGUAUCCCAUUCUGCAUGAUUAUAGAAUCUGUAAGCCUAGAUGUCUUUGUGUAAAAAACUAUUUUGGAUCAUGAUUAGAUUAAUAUUUGCAUGUGAAUUUCAUUAUGAGGCAAUUGUAUUGAGCACUAUUGAUUCGUAUCCAAAACCCAGGGAAGAUAUUUGGAGACACUACCUGCCUUCUUGUUGGUUGGCAUGUUGAUUUGAAAAGCAAACCUACUUUGUUUUUGUUCCUUUUCCUUUCUUUCUCCCUUUUUUUUUUUUUGUUUUCCUGUGGUGUUUAUGUGAGAACCAUAUCACAUUAUUUGUAUUCAUUGUGUUGUGUUAUUGGGAACCAUGAAAGUUUUUACUUGGCUACUACCUACUCUGUCAAUCUGAAUUAAAAUGUUUUCAAUUUUAUACAGGUCAGCAUGACAUUGAAUAUAUCAGCAAAUCUGCAGUCAAUGUUUACAUGGAACACAAAACAGGUUUACCUAUUGACAAAUUCUUAUGUUUUUAUUUAUUUAUGCUUCUCAUACUUUUUCCUAUACUAAAUAUACGUAUAUUUCCAGGAUGCUUUAAAUAGUUUUUUCCCUGUGGGAUUGGGAUCUAGUUCUUGUAGAAAGAUUGAGAUUGACCACUUGAGGCAUUCCUCAAGUAUAUCUGUGAUGUUUUCAUAAUUGGUUCAUAUGCAAUCAUAAUAACUGCUGGAUUUGGCCCUUUUUGGGAUGAUAGGAAUAAAAUGUGUCAAAAUUUAUUUUUUUUUAACCGACUGUGCAAGAGAUUUUGAUGAAUUGAUGGUACCGGCACUUCCACAGAUUUGUUAUUCUCAACAAUAAAUAAAUGUGUGAUGUGAAGAGGGCAGCUCUAGAAAAUUCAGGAGUGAAACUUUUCUAUAACUUCAUGAAGCAGAGAACCAAAAGGAGAGCAAUUUUGAUAGAACUUACUGCAUUUUGGGAGAUGAGAAACUACUCCAUCAAAUAUCCUUUCAUUUCCUGACUUCCAAAUAAUGGCACAAACCCACUGAAAGGGGUUUGAUUCUCUAAACAAUCAUCUGUAUAAGUUCACUCACUCCAAAUCACCAACAAUAAUAACCAUUUUACAGAUCCUGGAAAUACCAAGGGCCCAACAUAUCUGAAAUAGUGAGAAGAGUACACAAACUGCAGGGUUUUCUGUUAACUUUGCAUCUUCCUUGUUCAUAUUGCAUCGGUUUGUCAUCAAGCAACUGCAACCCUCAAAUAGUCAUUGUUCCUCAACAGUGUCCCAUCUCCUCCCACCACACAACCAUUAAAAGAAAAAGGCACAAUAUAUUUUUUCUAGAGAAGCUAUAUGGUCAUUAUGGGUCCUUCAAAUCUUGUUAACCAAGUUAUCUUCUUUCUUUUCCUCUCCAGAGUUUUGCACUCAUUUGAGAACCAACAACUCAUAUUAACUUCUAGUUUAGCUGUCUUCCAGUAUCCUAGAAAGAGGUAUUGGACUGGCAAGUUGAUGCUGGGUUUUGAAUGGGCCGUUUAUCUUAUUUUACAUUUGUUGAGUUUGACUCAUAGUUGGUAUAAAUUCAUUUGAUUUUUCUCAUUAUGUUGCCUCAUCUUCUCUCAACCUUGAAAUUUUUUAUUAUUUUCAGUUUGUUCACUUACAUUUUUCACUGAUGCCAUGCCAUUUUCAUUUAAUCACUAAGAUAGAGAUAUAUUCUUUUGUAUUUGUUGUUUGUUUCUUUAUUGUUCAUUUGGGGCAGUGUUGGUGUUUGUGUUUGGUUGUCCAUUGAAAAUUUUAAAAUUCUAUGUGAAACACAAUUACUGAUUUCAAUUCCAUGGGAUGUCAAUGUGCCAUGGGCUUGAUCCAGCCUCUUGCUCUCUUACAGUUUUGCAAAUUUCAGUAGUAUUCUGAGUUUAUUUUUUAUCUUAUUUCUAUUUGUAGGUUUUUGUAUUUCUAGCAGCUGAGUAUGCAACACCAAAGAAUUCCUUGAAUCAGGUUAGCUUCAGAGCAUCUGGAAGCACAGAUCCUUUGUAUUUUUUUUCAUAUCAAUUUCAUUCUUUUUUUUUUCCCUCACAUUUUAUAAAUCUGAUUGAAACACAUGGUUCCUGCAAGACAUAUGAUCUACUUUAUGAUUGUUCGCAUCAUAUGGCCAUACUUCUAUACUUGUUGACAUCAUCCUCUGAUUCCAUUAUUAUGUCAUUUUUCCACAAUGGCUUAAAUGGAGAUGCCUAUUGAAGAAAAUAGUUGAAAUGGAGAUCAAUUACAUAAUAAAUUUUUAUUGUGGUGUUGAGCUAGAGGUUCCUUCAACAUCUGCAAAUUUCAACUAUUGGCCAUUAUGUUUCUAUUUGCCACUGUGAAAGCAACACAUCAGCUGUUCUCAUGGCGCUUUUUAUAGGCAAAUGAGAAUAAUAUUAACAAAGCCUAAACAAAAAGUGGGCUCCAAAGUAGUGUGCAAAGGGCACCUAACUGGGUUCUCAUAGCUUACAUUAUACUGUAGUGGACCACAAAUUGAGAGUAUAAGUUAAGGUUGUUUUUUCUGAUUCAUUUUUAUAUUAUAGUAUUGUCUUGGCCUGCUAUUUCUUGUGUUUUCUUUUUCCUCCUUUGGUCCAUUCCUAAAUCCAAAAUGGAACCAUUUCCUUGUUUGGGUUCAAAGCUAUUGAACAAUACAUUGAUGCUGCAUAAUUUAUUAUGAAGGUGAGAUCUGAAAUGACAAAGUCAAGAGGAAUUUGAGUACAGAGAGCUUGACUUCUAUCGCUCCAGAUAAAGAUUAAUUCUUUGCAUUAGGUGGUGCAUGCCCACUGAUUUAGCACAUUUAGGAUAGUGUAUAACUCCUACCUCUUAUCCAUAAUUCAAUGAAUUUAUUUUCUUUGUAUUUUCUUUUUCUACAUGCUCUCUCUAGGUAUCUGGAUUAUGUGUAAGUGUUACCCUGAAAGAAGAAAACAGUAACAGGCAUUAACUUAACAUUAAGAAAUUCAUUUAGAAUUUGAAGUAGAGACCACCAUUAUAACCCAGAACUGAAAUUAUGAUUUCAGCAAUGAUGUGCCAUAAGUGAAGCGACUCCUGGGGAGCAAAAUUUUUUGACUGCUAGCAUAUGCGUAUGCAUUUGAAAUAACUUUGACCAGGACCUCAAAUAUGAGUUUUUGAACAAUAACUGAAAAUUGAUUUUGAAGAAAGUAAUAGUUGAGAUAAAUACGUUAUUGAGUUGAAUGAUCAUCUUUCUUCUCGGAGAUUUUUUUUCUUUUCUCCCUCAGGAAGUUAAUGAUGUCCAGACGAAAAGUUUCAUAAAUUGAGAAACUUUUUUAACUAAGGCAUGGCAUUCAUUAGGUUGCAAGACUGUUCGAGUUUGGGAAGAAAUAUGUUACACUAAUAUCAAGUGGUUUGAGCACUUAAAAAACAGUCUACCAUUUCAGAAAACAGUGCUCUGGGCAGGAUGGUGGGCAAGCCUCCUGACAGCAAUAAGAUUUUGUGGCAAGUUUUAUGGUACUUGAUUUAUGGGUGCAAUUUUUAUUUGUUAUGAUAGAUUUCUAUUUCCACCAGUUCACUUGGUUAUAAUAUACUGUUGUGGUGUUGAUUUGUCUAGCUGUCUUUAGCUGUUCUGAGGGGGUAAUGUGUAAAAUUGUUGAUAAAUUCUAGUCCAUUUUUUCAAACCUCCUCCACUCCCCAGCAAAAAAAAAAAAGGAUGUUCAUUGCUUGUGUUGAUUUUAAAAUUAUCAUGUGAUAGGUUUCUCUCUGGGAUGGUAUUAUACCUUCAAAAGAGCAUGCGAAAUUCUGGAUUCAUACCACAAACAAGUACCGAUUCACUGAUCAGGUAAAGCCAUUUCUGGAAAUUAAUUUUUACCACUACCUCUUCAAACCAAGCCAAAUCUUUGAUCUUUUUGCUAUUGUAGGGAAGCAAUCUCCGGGGAAAAGAAUUCAACUUGACAUUGCACUGGCAUGUCAUGCCCAAGACUGGAAAGAUGUUUGCUGACAAAAUAAUCAUGACCGGGUUCCGCUUGCCAGAAGAAUACAGAUAAGGAUGAUUCUGGGGUGUUUUUUUGGCUGUAACUUCAGUAUUUGUCCCAUGGGGAUGUAAGAGGUUAUUGAAAUUCGAAAAUCAGAGAAAAAGGGAAAAUUUCCUAUUUGAGUCAAUGACUUUUUAUUUAUGAGGAUAUUGCUUAGACUUUUUGAAUCCAUAGAACUUUGUUACUGAUUCUUGGAUCUUGACCCUUCCCUCAGAUAUUCACAUCUAUCUUGUGACCAUUUUUCUGUUCAUAUACAAUUUUUCCAGGUUGGAAUCUCUUUUCCUGGUGUUUGGAUGCAAAACUACCAAAUGGGAUUUCUUAGGAUUUCUUCAGGAAAAUCACUUCGAAAGGGAAACUCCUCUUCAUGGGAAUUUUCUUGGUGCAGUUCAUCACCGAUGGGAUUUUCCUUUUCUCAUCGCCCUCCAAAAAGGAAAAGAAAAGGAAAGGAAAAGGCCCCUCUUCAAUCGAGAGGAAAUGACUCUGAAGUGGGCUGUGUUCUUGUAUUCUCAGUCCCAUUUAGAUAGCAUUUUGUUUUUAGCUUUUGGUAAAAAGCUACUGAUUCAUUGAUUUCUAAGGACAGUAUACUGUAGUUUUAAAUUUUCUAUUAAAUAUAAAAUAAUAUGAUUUAUAAAUAAAUUAUAAAUUUUAUAAUAUUUAUUUAUUUGUAAAUUAUAUUUAUUUUAAUGUAAUUUAAAAUUUAAAAAUAAUAAUAUUAAUAAGUUAGGUAAACAAUUAUCUUUUUCUUUUUUUUUAAAAAAAAAUUAAUGGGUUGAGAAUGGAUUUAAACAAUUUUAGGGUUUAAUGCAUUUCACCCCCUUCAAUUUAUUACGGGUUUUGCACAUUGCCCUCUCACCGUUAAAAUUGAAGACAUUGUCCUUCAAACUUCUUAAAUAUUAAUAUUGUCUCCUUUUUGUUAGACAAUAUUAAUUUCAAUGAACGAAACAUGUGAUAUUAUAAAUUUAUCCUUAUUUAUUUAAUCACAUGCAUACAUAUCUCAUAUUUUCGUCCAUUAAAACGAACAUCAUUCAAUAAAAAGCUACUAUGAAGGCAUUUAAGAAACUUAAAAAGUAAUGUAUUCGAUUUUAAAUAUGAGGAGCAAUAUGUAAAACACGCGUUAGGUUAAAAGUGUAUUAAACCCAUGAUUUUUUUCAUUUAUUCAAAAUCUAAUUUAAUUAUGUACAUAAUUUAAAAAUAAUAAAUAUAAAAUUCAUGAAUGAGUUCCAACCCUAAAUACACGUGGAAUAAUCAGGAUGACAUAAAAUGAACACUUUCAUGUGAUUGGUCCAGCAAGUGGGACCCGUCAAAAUGCUGACGUGGCAACCGGCAACAUUUGAUAUUGCUAAAUGGGAAAACUGUACGGACAAACAUAACUGGUGGAGACCCAUCUUCUCUUUCAAUUCUCAUCCCCUUCUCUUUUUCCUCUCUCUAUCUGUCUUUCUCUCAGGCCAUCGUCGUGCUUCUUCAGGUACGGAAACCCUGAAUCUCACUCCCCUUUGUUUGGUUGCUCUGCAAAAAAAAAACCGAAGGAAAAUGAAAGAAUCAACAAUAAAAUGUUACAAUCUUAAUUUUGAAUUAUUCUUUUGAGCGACCGAGAAAUCUAGAAGGUCUCUACCCAACUGAGACUGUUACAGGUUACAACACGGAACAAGAUACGUGGAAUUUUAAUCAUUUUUGUUUUAUUUUAUUUUCUCUUCAACCGAACAGAAGUUAGGGCUUUGAGUUUUGUCUCAAUUGGGGGAGAGUUUGAGUUCAGAUUGUGGUAUCGCUUGUGCAUUUGCUUUACCUAUCACUGGAAACUCCAAUUACUAUUGGAAAAUAACCCGGAAUUGUUGGACAUUUAUUUUCUCCUUGUCCUUAGUUUUCUGGGCAAGCAGACAGAAGGCUAGAGUUGUUUCCUCUUUCUAUUCUUGUUUUUCCCCCCUUCAAUACGGGAAGUUGUAUUCAAAUUCUGGUGGUGUUUGGAAUCUUUGCUUAAUUCGAUCACUGAUUUGAGUUUGAAUUGUGAAAGUAGAACUUAGUCCUUAACUUUUCUUUUGUUUUCUUAUAUUUUCUCAGUUGCCAAUUAGAGCCCUAGCAUAGCCUCUCUGCUACAUUGUGAGCGCCUAGCUAAAUAUAAUAUUUGAGCCUUACUGUACAUUGAAGUUAAUGUUCAGUGCUAAAUCAUUAAGAGCCAUCUCUGAAUGCUUGCAUUAGCAGCUCUCAAUGACAUACUAUGUAUGCUUAAAAAUCCCAAGGGAAAGGGUGCAAAAUAAUUUCUGUGUGCAUGAUCAAAUAUUUGUUGUCUUUAUUAUUUUAAGCUUCUGCAUGUAACUAGCUGGUUCUAUGGCCUUCUCAAAUUGCUACACGGACAACAGUUUCAAACAUUGCAUAAAAUUCUGAACCUUUAGAAUUUGGUACUGUUAUCAGUAUUUCUGACUUAAGAUGAGUAUGCACUAGCAGACGAAAUCAAUUAGAUUAACCUAUGACUUGGUUUCAAAAUUAUAUUCUAUACAAAGUGUUUUCUCUUACUCUAAUUUCCUUGUUUUUUAUUGUUGUUCUUGAGCUAUUUUCUUUGCUUUUGAGAAUGUUACCAUUUCUAUAAUCUUAUUUAUCUUUCUUUCAAAAGUACAUCCAUUUAUGUUGAAUAUGUUCUAGUAUGUGUACCAUUAAUGUCCUGAAGGUCAUGAUUGUUGCGCUUCUAUUUUUAUGAGACUAGUUGAUCUUGUUUGCAAUGGAUGAAUUUAGCUGUAUGGGUGUGAGUAAUAGAAUUGUUGGAAGAAAGUCACUGGUAUAAUUUCUAUGAUACUUGUUAUGGGUCUUCUGUUCAACUUAAAUAAUAACUAGGUUAUGCGUUGAAAGGAAAAUAUGUUUAAAAAGUCAGGGGUUUCAUUAACAUCCUUGAUCUUACAGGGAAGCUAUGGCCAGCCAAGCCCUUGUGAACAGUGAUCGCUCAAGGACACAUUGGACCCAAACGAUGGAACGCUAUUUCAUUGAUCUCAUGUUAGAUCAGGUACAUAGGGGCAAUAGGAUGGGGCAUACAUUUAAUAAACAAGCUUGGGCAGAUAUGCACGCCAUGUUCAAUGGAAAAUUUGGAUCUCAAUAUGAGAAAGAUGUCUUGAAAAGUCGUUACACAGUUCUGUGGAAGCAGUUCAAUGAUAUGAAGAAUCUCCUUGACCAAAGUGGAUUUUCUUGGGAUGAUACUCGAAAGAUGGUGGUAGCUGAUGAUUGUGUCUGGGAUGCCUAUAUCAAGGUGCACUGUUUCUUUGCUCUCCUUGUUUAAUCCCCGUUCUUAUUGCAAAAGUAGCUUGACAUGAGAUGCAUGCAGGCUCACCCAGAUGCACAAUGCUACAAAAACAAAGCUGUGAUGAAUUUCAAUGACUUAUGCUUGAUAUAUGCAUAUACAACAGCAGAUGGAAGAUAUAGUCGUUCAAGUCAUGAUAUAGACUUUGAUGAUGACUUCCAAGGAGUGACCAUUGGUGUGUCUCUAUCCCUGUUACAACCUAGAUUAUGGUUUUAUCUUAUAUUGUGAAUGAUAUGUGUGUACAUGUGAAUGUGACUCAAAACAAGACCCUUUUUCCAGUUUUUAUUUUCAUGGUGCCGACACUAGUUUUGGGAAGGGGGAAGACAGUAGAAUUCUGAAGCUGCAACUCAUUGCACAAUGUUUAUGAUAUAUGCAAAAACCUUCCUUUUCUUUUUGCGGGUUUUCUGUUUGUAAUGCAAUACUUAUCAUGAAAACUAUAAGGGAAAAAAUGGUAGAACUCAGAAAAUAUAACUCACUGACCCUAUUCAUGAUUUAUGAGUGUAGAAUUCUGAAGCUGUAAUUCACUGCACCAUGUUUAUGAUAUAUGCAAAAACCUUCCUUUACUUUUUGCAGUUUUUCUGUUCGUAAUGCAAUAUUUAUCAUGAAAACUAUAGGGGGGAAAAUGGUAGAACUCAGAAAAUAUAGCUCACUGACCCUAUUCAUGAUUUAUGAGUUGACCUAGAAUUUGACAGAACAAAAUCCUUGCUUGAAUUUCAUAAGUUUCAGACAACUAUGAACCUUCACCACAUCCAACAUUAUAAAAGGCCCUGUCUUUCUGUCAAUUAUAAGCUCUUAGCUCCACAAGCCACAAGUGGGUGAUCUACUAACAGUUUAUCUGAGCCAAAGAUAACCCAAAAGUGGUCAGAAUUCCUGGCUAUAUUUUAUUGUUCUGGAAACAGGACCUUAUUAAGAUAGAAACAAGCAUACUGUGAAGUGGCUGAAUGUGUGAAGAAUAUGAUAAUUGGUUGCAUUCAUGAUGAUGGAUGUUACCUGAGUGAGUUAUUGACCUUUAUCUGGCUAUCAAAAAUAAAAUAAAAUACUGAUUGUUAUUUACUUGAUUUGUUUUGACAUGCAUUUUCCUCUAAAAAAAGUGUUAGUAAUUUCAUAAACAAACUAAGAACUGGAUGCAGUAUGAUUAAGGCUGGGUAUGUCUUUAUUUGCAGAUAUCUACAAGAAUUAGAAGUUUUUUACUGAACAAACAACCACACUCACUAAUAAAUUUCUUAAUUGUAUAGCUUAUGGAAUGGGUAGCGUAGCCCCUGCAAGUAAUGAGCACUCUAGAAGAGACUGGACACCAGCCAUGGAUCAAUAUUUCACUGAGCUCAUGCUGGAUCAGCUGGGAAAAGGGAAUAAGAUUACUAAUACAUUCAAUGAACAAGCAUGGACUGUUAUGCUCUCUUUGUUCAAUUCAAAAUUUUGUACUCAGCAUGGAAAAAGGUUUUUAAAACGUCGAUAUAAGAAACUGGAAAAAUAUUAUAGUGAUAUAAAGACUCUGCUUGAGCAAAAUGGUUUUUUGUGGGAUGAUAGACAACAAAUGAUAGCAGCCGAUGAUGAUGUUUGGGAUAAUUACAUUAAGGUAUGUAUUUUAUUUAAAUUUGAUAUUGUAGUUUUGUUUUUAUAAUAUCUAAUGCUUAAUUAUGAUGGAUUUAGGCACACCCACAUGCACAAGCAUACAGAAAGAAGAUUUUGCUGAACUUUCAAGAUUUGAGCUUGCUGUAUGGAAAAACUGUCAACAAUGGAAUUCGCAGUCAUCUGCACCCAGAUAAAGACCUUGAAUAUGAUAUUGUACAAAUCAAAGCUGGUGCGUUUCAUAUUUAGACCACCAAAGUUUUUUUUUUAUUUUUAAAUAAUUAUUUAUACUGUCUUAGGAGUUAUAAUUUGGAUUAUGGUUGUCUCGUGGAAAAUUCUUCAAUCGAUCAUACUUACAUGUAACAAGAGAAUUGGGCAGAACUACAAAUAGUUGCUUUUUCUUGGUGACACUUGAUGCUCAUCAAUGGAAACAGACUUCUAGGUUCCAAUUUUGUUGUUACAUGCAUCCAGAAUUGUAUGCUAAUUUUAGUGAAAUCCAUGAGACUAUCAGUCAUAUUAGCAUUUGCUUCAAGAUGAUUUUGGGAACCUUGAGAAUUAUUUUCAUGGAUGGAUUAUUACUUCUAUAAAUUGUGCUUUCUGGCUUUGUAGGUGAAGGGGAGUACCAAACACCAAUUAGUGGUGAUGGUUAUUGGACGCUGCCAAUGGACCAUUAUUUCAUUGACUUGUUACUGGACCAGGUGCUUAGGGGGAAUAAAAUUGGGCAGGGAUUCAUAACCCAAGCUUGGAUUGAAAUGGUCACAUUAUUCAAUAUGAAAUUUGGAUCUCACUACGACAAAGAUGUUCUGAAGAAUCGGUACAGACAUUUGAGGAGACAAUAUAAUGACAUAACAGCUCUUCUUGAACAUAGCGGGUUUUCUUGGGAUGAUACACGAGAAAUGGUAACUGCUGAAGGUUUUGUUUGGGAUUCUUAUAUCCAGGUGUGAAAUGCUAUUCCCCUAUUUCUUAUUUCUCAGAUGUAUUUUAUUUGAUGUUUUGUAGCUUACAUAUAACAUAUACAGGCAAUUCCUGAUGCUCAAUCAUACAGAAACAAAACUGUGCCAAAUUAUCACAAGUUGUGUGUUAUAUAUGGACAAGAAAGUUCUAAUGGAGGAGACAACUCUUUGGCAUGCAAUGGUGACAUCGAUGGCGUGGACCCAGUUUGGAUGAUUGGUAUGUUUCUCAUUCAACAAUGAAAUUGGAAAAGAUAUUUUGUGAAGAUUGGUCCUAAGACUAUGAUCUCAAAUCUGAUUCUGGAAAGUAGAAAAUAAAUAGAAAUGCCUCUUAGAGCAAAUUUAAUUCUGUUCAAAUUUAUAUUAACUAAUAAACAAACACAAUUAAUUAUGAUUAAGUUUUCUGGAUUUUUGAAAUCCCCUGAAUUGAUCUGGUUUGUCAUUAAAACACAAGCUAAUUUUGUUGUGUACAAUUUAAGAAUUAACAAAUCACUUCAUCAAAAAAAGAAAAAAGAAAAAAAGAAAAAAAAAAGAAUUAACAAAUCACUCUCCAAAAUUGUGAAUGUUGCUUAUACUUCAUGAAUUAUGUUCCAGAAUGACAUGGUAUGCCUUUACAUUGUUGCAUUACUGAAUACGGAUAUUCAGUCUUGUUCAUCCAACCAAAUGCUCAAGUGCCUCCCACCCCACCCCUGCUACCUACAAAAGGAAAAAAAAGUACCUAAAACACACACACACACCCCUUUCUCCCCAAAUAAUGUUUGGAUCUUUCUUUAUGGAUUCCCAAAUUUUGAUUUCACUAGUGCCACAUAAUGUUAAGUCCCAGUUUCUUCACUUCAUUAACAGUAGAAAACCAAGUGAUAGGCAAUGCUUACUUGUGUAACUCUGGCUGGGUAUUGAUGUCAUCACAUAGCAAUAUUAGUUGCCAUGUUAUUUACAUUCAAAAUUCUGUUGUUGCAGAAGGAACUGAUAUUCAAUGCAAUGCAAAUAGUGAUCAUUCAAGGACAGAUUGGAUACCGCCAAUGGACAGAUAUCUCAUUGACCUUAUGCUAGAGCAAGUGCGGAAAGGGAAUAGGAAAGUUCACACUUUCAAUAAACAAGCAUGGGCAGAUAUGGUUGCAUUAUUCAAUGAAAGAUUCAGAACACAACAUGAGAAAAGUGUUUUAAAGAGUCGGCAUAAAAGUUUGAGGAAGCAGUACCAUCAUAUAAAGAAUCUUCUUGAUCAUAGGGGGUUCUCAUGGGAUGAAAUGCGACAAAUGGUCACAGCAUAUGAUGCUGUUUGGGCUGCUUACCUCAAGGUGCAUUGCUUAGUCAUUUGACUCUUUUGAUUUUAAUUGCAAGUGCCUAACAUGUGGUACAUGUAGGAACACCCAGAUGCAAAAUCAUACAGAGCCAAACCAAAGCCGAAUUACAAUGAUUUGUGCUUGAUUUAUGGGAGUCCAAUUGCUGAUGGACAAUGCAACCAAUCAUAUCAUGGCAUUGACUUCAACGGUGAUGGUGAGCCUUUAAUUGUGAUGGGUUUAUGGUUGUCUUGCAUUGGUUAAGGAAUAUUGUUUCAACAAUUUGAACCAAAAUUACUGAAGAUGCUAAUUACCUUGUGGUAAAGACCAUCGAUUUUUUCUAUGCUACCAUGUUUGAAGCCUGUGUUCACCUACUAAUUUGUUAAUCCCUAACUCCUACUGCCUUGUCCUUGUGCUGAUACGCUUUCAUGAAAAGAAGGAAGUAAGCUGCUGCAAUUUUUAAGAAAUUAGUAAGAAUGAUUCUUGGCAUUGAAUGAAUUUAGGGAUAUGUCAGUAGUAAUUUAUAUUGCAUGGUCUACUUCAAGCAUCUUUUAGCAAUGCUACAUCAUGUACACUUGACUAUUUAUGCGUGAUGUGUUUUGAUACAUACAAGGAAGACUAAUCUUUUCUCCAUAUUUUGUCAUUUUUAAAUACUUUGAAGGAAGGGAACUUAACAAUAGUAGUCACUCGCGAACUGAUUGGACACCACUGAUGGACCGAUAUUUCAUUGAUCUAAUGCUAGAACAUGUUCAGAAAGGGAGUAUGGUUGAUCAUAAAUUCAACAAGCAAGCAUGGAGUGAUAUGGCUGCAAGGUUUAAUGCAGAAUUUGGGUCUUAUCAUGACAAAGAUGUCUUAAAAAGUCGGUUUAAGCAUUGGAGGAAGCUGUUCAAUGGAAUGAGAACACUUCUUGAGCAGAAUGGGUUUGCUUGGGAUGAAAGACGGCAAAUGGUAACUGCAGCUAAUGAACUCUGGGAUUCCUAUAUCAAGGUACUUUUUUAUAAGUUAAACCUUUAGACACAGGAUUUUUCAGUCCCUGCUUCAGGGAACUUACAUAUGGUAUGUGCAGGAAAAUCCUGAUGCAAGAUCAUAUAGAACUAGAAGUCUCCCGAACUAUAAUGAUUUGUUCCUGAUAUAUGGGAAUGCAAUCAACAAGGACACACAAAACCAAUCAAGUUUUUGUAUAGACGACAAUGACGAUGACCUGGGAGUAGGAAUUGGUGUGUUUCUCAUUCUUCUUUCUCUCUCUCUCUCUCUGAUGCGCAUAGAGACAUAGACUUGCACACAUAUUAGCUUAUUGGUAACUUGGUAUACAUGGCUCAGAUUGUUCUCUCCACAUAAUGGCUCUCAUCCAGAGUUUUGGGGAUAGAUGGCUGCUAGCAUGAAUAUGAACUAAGGUCAUAUUGAACCUGCACCAUCCUUCUCUAAUGGCUGACUCUGAUUUUGUGAAACUGCUGGUAUCACAAAUUCAAUAUGUGGAUGUUGAAUGAUAGUGUUUUCAAAUGGUAGAAUUUCACACAUCUGAUUAUUCCAAUUUCUUCAAUUUGUAGGUGAAGAGGAUGACCAGUUCCUUGCUAGUAGCGAUUCUCUAGAUGUUGACUGGAUGAUACCAAUGGACAUAGACCCUCAUGCCCUAGAACUGGACAUGGAUGAAAUGUUUGGAUGUCUACAAUCCCCAUUUAGAAACACUAACAUAUCAGAUCAGAAAAAACGCCGACAAUCUGCGGCACCAUCAACUUUGGCAUGCUCAAGAAAAGUCCCCAAAACCAAAGAGAGGAUGUGGGAAUCACCCAGUGAAAAGGAAGGCGUAGCCACAGCACUGAUAAAUGAUAAAGAAGUGAAGAAUUGCAUCUCAAUAGAAACCAUCGUGGAUGCCCUCCAAAGCAUACCAGGCAUGGACGACGAGCUCUUCUUGGACGCCUGCCACCUUCUGGAAGAUGAGAAAAAGGCCGAGAUGUUUGUGGCACUGGAUGCUGCACGGCGACAAAAGUGGUUGCUGAGAAAGCUCCGCACCUAGCAUCAUCAUGCGAUUUUCAGUUGGGAAUUGGGAUUCAUGUCUAUAAUGUGUCUAUAAGUUUUUUGGGUAUGUAAAUUAUAUUUUACAGGUUAAAGCAUAGCAGUUCCCCUUUUUUUUUUCCUUCUCUUCGAAUCAAUCUCCUGGUAGCUAAUGUUGUUCAAACCUACACCUCACUCAGUUCAUAGACAGCAGAGUGUGAGCUGUCGGCACAGAGCAGUGCACCUUUUUCUUACCGCGUGGUGGUAUUUGUCUUGACCAACCACCUACUGCUGGCUUUCCUUCUAGUGAAUUGCUGCGGCAUCACCGGUCACAAAACCAUAGUUAUUAAGGAAAAUAAAAGAAUCUUAAAAAUACUAAGGAAACAAGGAAAAUGAAUUUCUUGUUGAAAUAGACAAAGAUGAAAAGAAAAUCCAAAAAAGGAAAGGAUGAGAAAAAUGUUCAAAAUAGUCCAAAAUCAAAACAAAACAAUGAAAAUAGAAUGCAAGUCUAAUUGCAUUGGAACCUUUUUCCUUGAUAUGAGAAAUGUGGAAAAUAAGAAAUAAAUAAAUAAUGCAAAGAUCUAUGACCCAAUGACAAGACAAUUAGUAGCAAGAAGCUUGGGUCUGGGAAUGGCAUGGCCUGCUUCUCCUCCUCCUCCUCCUCCUCUCUCUCUUACCUCAAAAACUCUGCAAUCCCACUCUCCCUCUUCUUCAUCUUCCUCUUCUUCCUCCUCACUACCCCACAUUUCUCCCCAAGCUACCCCUCCCCUCCCCCUAUAAUCCCCAAAAGGUCUCUCCUCAACUCCACCACCACCACCACUUCUUGCUCCUCCAGUCUUGAAACCCCCUCCAAUGGCCUCCUCAACUACCUUUCCCUCCAUUUCUGCACUUUCCACCAAACCCAUCUCAUCUCCAUCCCUUUCCUCACCCUCGUUCUCCUCCUCCUCUUCUACAUCCUUGUCAAGACUGCCCAAGAUCGCUUCUCUAUCGUCGUCACGAAGCUCUGUGCUCAUCUCAAUUUGUCGCCUAGUAUGGGUGCUGUGACCCUCUUGGCUCUGGGUAAUGGGGCUCCAGACGUCUUUGCGUCGGUGGCCGCUGUGCGUGGCGGGCAUCCGAGGACUGGUUUUGGGGCGAUUUUGUCGGCCGGUACGUUUGUUUCGGCGUUUGUGGUUGGGUUUGUGGCGAUUUAUGCCGCGCCGUUUUCGGUGGACCCGAGUCAGUUUGUGAGGGACGUGUUCUUUUACUUGGUGGCUGCGUUGUUCUUGUUCUAUGUGUAUUUGAGCGCGGAGAUUUUUCUGUGGCAGGCUAUUGGGUUUGUGGGGUUUUAUGCGUUUUUUGUCGGGUUGGUGUUUUGGAUGGAUUUGGGGAUUGGUGGAGGGAAGGAGAGAGGUGGGAGUGAGGUGGGGUUGAUUGGGGAGGUCGAGAUUGAGAAGGGUUUGGUGGGUUCUGGGGUUUUUGAGAUUGGGGAUGUGUUGAAGGAUGUGGAGAGAGGGAAGGCCGGUUUCGGGUUCGGUGAUGCACUUGGCAAGGUAUGUUUGGAUUUGAAUUGUAUUUCAAUUAUAAUCGUGUGGAUGUUUAUUUGGGAUCAUAUACGUUUGCUGAAUCUUGUUGUCAUAUAGUUCAUGAUCUAUGUGGCCAUAGAAGGUGAAGGUCGGAAUUUAAUUUGAUAUGAUGAGUUUGUUUCGUAAUUGGGUACCUGGAAUCUUGAUUUCUCAAUCAGUAGUGACUGUAAAAGUGAGGGUCUGCUUAAUUUUUUGGAAACUAGAAAAUUUAUGUGAGAUUUAAUAUGAAUUGAUUAUUUGCAUCAUCUUGCUUUGGACAUACUUACAGAAACUCCUAGACUUUCCUAGGUGAUUACCCUGCUUCUUGCCUACGUGCCAUGAUGGUUGUCCAGGGAAGAGUGAUGAUGCUCCUGCUCGCCUAGGUGCCUUGAUGCUUGUCUGUAUGUUGAAUUUGAUAUUAUCUCUCCCACUAAUUUCAUAUUUUGAUUUGUUUGAUGUGGUUUAUAUAACAUAUGAAGACAACUUUAGAUGAGGAAGCUGCUUUAAAUGGACAUUCAUAUAGGAGGUGUGAACAAAAGAAUGAGAGUAAAUAGAUAAGCCUUGAUUAAUCAAGAAAUGAUGGAAAUAUAGCGAGAUUAUGAAUCGACUAUUGCAGGGCCACACUUGAUCAAAACUAUUUGAAUUGACCAUAAAAAAUUCAUGGGUCAUGUCUAGGGGCCAUGUUAGGAUCCAUCACAAACAUCUCAAGGUGAUGCUACGUGUUGUAGACGAACAAACAUCUUAGCUUACCCUCUCAUUUGGUGACAAGAUGGUCCUGUAUCUGGCAUUUCACCAAUGUGCUGUUAUUUUCCUGUCCAUAGCAUAGUAAAGCAAGGUCCUCAUUUUCCAACCUCAGAAAAACAGGUUAAGCAUCUAGGUGUGACAAGACAUUGGCCCGUGUUAUCUUUAAGUUGGGUUAUUCUGUUUUUGGUAGGUUAAUUGGUAAUGGCCUUUUAACUGUUAAAAGCUAUAUAUGAUUUUGUGCAAAUUUGAAGUUAAGAAAUCAUUCGUCUUAUAAAUCCUCAAGGCAUUAUAUUGUUAUGAAGAAUAAUUUUGUCCUCCAAGAUCAGCUUUUUCUAUUCCUAUUUGGAAAUGAGUUCCACUCUUUCAGAGGUAUUUGUAUCUGCCCCUUAACAGAAACAGUUUUCAACCUUUUUCCCCUUCUUUUAUGUAUGUAUUUGACUGCUCAUAUCUGUUAUUGCUUAGAAGGACAUUCUUGCAAAAUAUAUAUUUCCUUCAUUCAAUUGGAUACUCCUAUAGAUCCUUAUUUUAUAUGUUGACCUUUAGAAAGCCUUCAACUUUUUCCACGGCUAAAUUUUUAAAAUGUGGGAAGGUGAGUAGGUAUUAAAAAAAAUAGAUGUAUAUGUAUGCAAGACACAAAAAUAGAUGGUGCAUAUGUAUACUCCUUUAGUCUAUAAUUAGGUGUCAAGAAAUGGAUUUCAUUGUAAUAGUAGGCUACAAACCUUAAUGAUUAUAAAUGAAGACAAAAUGGCUUAGAAUAUUUCUUUUAUACACAUUUUAUGGAUCAAGAAAUGGAGGAUAUACUUGAUAUAUCAUUGAGUUGAGAUUCUUAUGUGUUGCGUGGACUGCCCAUGGAUGAUGGAUAUUGGAGUAGUCAUUUUUGAGUGACAUGGCAUUUUUGACAAGUGAAUUUUGUUUAUUUUGCAUUCUUUAAAUUGAUAUUCUUGAUUAUUGUUUAGAGAAUAUGACCAAUUUUGGUGAGGGCUUCAUUCAUUGUUAAUGGCUCCAUCGUAGAGGAUGGAUUUUGCCUUUAAAUGGUAUGGAAAACAAAGGUUUAAUUUUCUUAGAAUGCCCAAGCACUGUCCAGGGCUUCUAUCAUAAAGCAUACCAGUGAAAAUGAUGGCAAAUUUUAGCAUUGGUAAAGCCAAGGGUCUAUCCAACCUUCUAGUAGAAGGGGAUUCUGUGGUAGUGCUAUAUUGGGUAAAAAAGGAGAAAAACUCUCGGAGGUUUGGCUAUGCCAACUUUUUGACAUCACUCUAGAGUUAGGGUGUUCAUUCUGCUGGAUUCCUCAGGCAGCUAACUAGGUGGCGGAUAAGUUAGCAAAAUGGGGAGCUUAACAUUUGAUUUCUUUUGUAGGAGAUUUUCAACCCCCCUAAGCUCUUGAAUUCAUAUUUUAAAACCUUUUUAGAUGUGCACAUCUAACGAUAUCUAGAGUAGAUGGUUUUUUCCUGCUUUUGAUCACAACUAUAUAGUUGUUGUGCUUGCAGGAAGGAUUUCUCAUCCUUCUUUAUACUUGAUAAUAAAAUGUUUGUUUUUUAUUUAAAGAAAAACAAAUGAUGACAAACUUUUCUCUCCAUUUUUUGCAUUGGGAGCCCUGUCGUACUUACAUUUGGCUGACCCUUACUGAUGAUCCUGGUUGUGGGAAUAGGUGAUUUGUCUUUUGCCAGAAAACUAUUGGUAAAAAGAGGAUUAUUGUCUUGUUUGUUUUUCCUCAUAUUUUCAGAGGUUUUGUUGGUUAAUAACCGCCCAUGCUUCUUUGCAUGGUGGAUUUAAUUAUUGUUGGAUUUUGUAAUGCAUUUCACAGUCAUUUGUGAUGAUUCUUUGAGAAAUUAUUGUUGUUGAUUAUGAGAAUGUUCAUUAAUUAAUUGUCAUCCAGGCCCAUCUAGUUUUUGAAGGUUAAUAUGCAUAUUAGCUUUUUAAUGCUUCUGAUUAUGAUUGCCCUAAUUCUGUUUUUUUUUUUGCUUGCAGAUCUCGAAAGCAUGGGAACUUCCAGUUUCUUUACUUCUAAAGCUCACAAUCCCACAAACUGAACCUUCAGAAUGGAAUAGGUUCUAUCAAUCUGCAAAUAUUGCUCUUUGCCCACUUGCCCUUUUGUACUCCUGUAAUUCAUUCAUACCACUAAAUCAUCCCAUCAUUUUUCUCCUUCCACACACUCAUUUUCCAUUAUGGUCUGUCGUACUCUUUGCAAGCUCCUCCCUUGCAGUUCUUCACUUCAUAAUAGAAAAAGAGCCCCCUGAAACUGAAAGAAUGCCUGUGGUUCUUGUAGCCUUUAUAAUGAGUGUCUUUUGGAUAUCUACUGUUGCUGGGGAGCUCCUGAACUGCCUUGCAGCAUUAGGGUCACUUCUUGAAUUGCCUCCAUCACUCCUUGGGCUCACAGUACUUGCAUGGGGAAACUCAGUGGGAGAUCUUGUUGCUGAUGUGGCCAUUGCCAAAGCAGGCCAGCCAGCAAUGGCAAUGGCUGGGUGCUUUGCUGGCCCAAUGUUUAACAUGCUUGUUGGACUUGGGACAGCUUUGGUGAUACAAACUGCUAAUAUUUAUCCCCAAGCUUAUCAGCUCCAUUUCCACACGGGUAUUGUGAUUGCAUUUGUGUUCUUGCUGUCAAGCUUGAUGGGGUCUCUGUUAGUUAUAACUUGGGGUAGAUUCCGGGUGCCUAGGUUCUGGGGUUUCUGCCUUGUUGGUCUCUAUGUUGUAUUUAUGGUUGUUAGCAUACUCAUCGCAAAGUUUUCAGGGUGAUUUUUCCAACCCCCACAUCUACAGUUUCUCAUUCAUUGCUAUAGUUAUCAUGCCAAUUACCAACCCAUAGUAGAAUUUCUCAGCUACAAAAUGUUGGGCAGCUCAUUGAUAUUCCAAGCAAUCAAUCCACAGAUGGCAGAUUGUCAAUACAAGCGAUGUUUCUCGCUGCAAAAAUCUUGGCUCUCAUCUUUGUCAUCUUCCAAGCUAGGUACCUUAUACCUUACACAUUGGAUCAAUGAUUCUUUUCAUCUUGUUAGUUUCUGUUCUCCCCUAUUUGUCUUAUUAGUUUUUUAAUUCUUUUGACAAUGAGAUGUCAUAAUUUGUAUUGGAAGAAUCUACUUCUUUAUGAGCAUAUAAUUGUAAUAGAAAAUGUCUAAGCAGCAUCAUGAUAUGCCUCAAAAUCUAAUUACACUACAGCAUGUUUUCACAGAUCAACUUCUAUAUUUUGCACUUACCAGCCUGUUUUUCUUGCUUAUUGUCAAUUACUGCUGAAUGUUACUUCUGGUUUAUUUAUAUGUUGGAGGACAUGGUAACUAGCAGACCCACUUUCUCAGCAACCAUACCCUACCACCCAUUGGCUCACCUUACUGAAAUUUUUGUUCAUGAGUUUAUCACUGUCGCUUUGAGAAUCUGAGACAUUCAAAUUUUGCUGCAACAGUUGGUUUAGAAGCUCAAUAUUUCAUAGGUUCCUACACAGGUCUAGUACUGUAGAAGCCAUUGACAUGGAUGCCCUUUUGCAUCAGCUUGUAGUUGAAGAGUGGGUUAGUUUUAGAUAUGAAUUGUUCUUGAACCUUUGCUUCUACGUUAGCUGCAUGAGUGGAAGGAAAAUUUUCAGAGACUCUGUUGAAAACUCUCUUGUGGGGUUUGGGAUUCUUCUUUUCUUCCUUGUUUUGCCUUAAUUAUGAUAAUUGGAAGGUCAAGUCUAUCAACCUUGGUUAAGAGGGCGUUUAGUAAAACUUAAAGCGGAAUACUUAAUGAAUUAAGGUGUUUGGUAAAACUUAACAUCUAAAAUUAAUUUUUUGAAAUAUUUUUUAUAAAAAUGAGAUGAUUCUUCAUAACAAAUUUAAAAUAUUUUCAAUGUUUUUGUACGAAGUAUUUAAAAAAAAAAGAAUUUUUGCAUUGGACAUCCCAAUGAAAUAUUCUUCCUACGAAUAAUUGACUAGCCGCUAUCCCAUCCCCACCAUCUCACUAUCUUUCUCUCUCAUAGAGGGGAAAAAAAAAAAAAAGACAUGUAGUGAACCGUUCGGUUCACUUGGUUUUCUAACGAUUCGAGACCGAUUUAAUAGGUUGUUAGCUCAAAAGGGUGGACUAAAUCAAAAAGCUCAUCCACUGACAGUCGAAUUAAUUCGAUUUUUAAGCAAUGUUCUUCAAAAGAGAAUAUAAUUUUUACUUGUUUUCUGAUAACUAUUACAAAAAAUAAUUAUACUAACAUAGAGAAAAAUUAAAAAUAAAACUUUAGAGAUAAAAAUUAUAGGUUAAAAAUAUUUUAAGUUCUCAAACAAAUUUUUAUUUUAUAAAAUAUCAAAUAAUCCUUUCCAAAAACUAUUUUUAAAAAUUAUUUUUUAUUUUCAAAAAUAGUUAUCGAUGACUUUAAUCUCUUUCUUUAUCAAAAUCUUAAAUUGGCUUUUUUCUUAACUAAAAUACUAAAACUAAAAACCAUUAUUCCUUUAUUUUAAGUUUAUUAAACGUUAGAUCAAUUUUAUCCAAAAAAAUAAAAUAAAUUUAUAAAAUUAAUAUUAUUUUGUCUAUAAAAAAAAAAAACCAGUUAUGAAGGAAGCUUUAAAAAGUGUGCAUUGCUAUAUAAUUCAUGUAUUUUAAAAUUUUGUUUUCUUAUUAGGAUAUAAGCCAACAUGACUCUAAAUCAAUUAAAUAGCUUCUCCAUUGUUAUUGUGUGAAUAAGCACUAGACAGUCUUCCUCAGAUAAUCAUAACCAAUUAAUUAUUAAAAAAAUUCAAGUAGGAGACUAUAAACCUGGUAGUAAUUAUUGGAAACGUUAAUAAUAUUCCUAAUACUUAAAAAAUUUUAUAAUUCAAAUAUUAAAAAUAUUUUCUAAAAUUACUAUAAAAAAUAUCAGAUUUAUGGGAGAAACUUUUCUUAAUAAUCAAAUUUAAUGACCCUUGCUUAUAGGUUAGAUUCAUCCUUAUCACAAUUAUUUUUAAUUAAAGUAUUUUUUAGAACAUUUUUUGGGAUAAUUACCCGUGUUUUUCUAAUCAUUUUUUUAUUUUUUAAAAAUAUUUUUAAAAUUUUAUUAAAAUACCUUAUUUUUCUUCAAAAAUACUAUUUAUGCUAAAAUUAUUUUUCAUAAACAUCGUCAAACAAACAUAAAUGAAAUGUUUGAUAAUUUUUUAAAAAUACAAAGAUUCACUUAAUUGAAAACCUGAUUUCGAAAAUUUAAUCUUCAUGGUAUAAAAAUAUAUAUUUUUAUUUUUUUAUAAAAAUAAUUUUUUUUUAAAAUAUAUAUAUACAAAUAUUUAAAAUAAUCAAGAACAUUUAUGUCAAAAAAGAGAUUAUUUUUCAAAUAAAAACAUGAAAUGGGUUAAAUUCAUAAAUAUAAAUUUAUGUCAUCCUUUUUAACCGAUUAAUCUUUAACAAAACACCGGCAAAAUACUGUUAAUAAAAGGGCGCCAGAUUAAAACGUUCUAAUCGGAAUCACAUCUAUAUUUAGCUAAAGUUUAGUUGAGGCUUCACAAAGAAGAAACCAAAAAAAAACGGUAUUUAAAAAAAUGGGAAAACAUCAAGAAGUAGACCAAAUAUUUGCAAGUCAAGAUGCCCAUAGCCCCACAUGGGAGGAAAGUAUGAUUUGAAUAGAAGUAGAGGGCAAAGUUGUCAGAAAAAAAAGAUGGGAGUUCGCCAUUAAAGCUUAGGACUCUGACAUAAAAGUCAGAACCCCUCACUCGCUUUGGAAGAAAACCAAAUAAAAAUCGAGUACCAUAAAGCCAAACCCUAACCAACCAACCCCAUCAUUCACUGUACGGACUUUCCCUCCACAACGCCCGAAACCCAGGUUCCACUUCCACCCAUCAAUCAUUCCCCCCUUUUCUCUUGUUUUCUUGCGCUUUCUUUCCCUGUAUGUCUCGCAUAUACGCGUAUACAUGCAUACAACAUGGGUUCAUGUAAUCAUAUAUGUUUAUGUAUGGUUUUUUUCUUUUUUUUCUUCUUUUUUUUUUUCUUUCUGUCUUGGAGGUACCCAUGUAUGUAUGUUUGCAUGAAGGGGUUGUUAUUGGAGAUGUUGAUGGAGUGGGUUUUGUGGGAAUUUUUUUUUUACAAACUUGGUUUUUUUAUUUUCUCUCUUUUGGGUUUGAAUGGUUUGUUCUGUUUGACACUUUGAUCUGAAUAUUGUAUGUAUUUGUUUGUGUUCAGCAAUUUUUGACGAGGAUCAUGUUCUGGAUUUCAAUUGGGUAACUUUGAGUUGUGUGAUGUUUUCGACAAGUUUUAGAGGGUUUUCUUUUCUGUGGAUGAUUGGGGAGAAAAUAUAAAUCUUCAUUUGUGGUAUUUGUUGAAUUUCCUUUUCAAUUUGUUGGCCCAGUUUUGUUUUGUUUUUUUUUUUCCAGUGGAAUUUUUUUCCUGAACUGGUGUUUCUUUGUUAUAAAAAGCUUCCCCAUUUUUCUGAAAAAUGGGUUUUGUUUUUGGAAAGGGGAAUGAUGGAAAUUCUUAGGCUAUGUUUGGUUCCCGGAAAAUUUGAGGGAAAAUAUAAGGGAAAGGAUAUAGGGAGGAAAAGUAAAAAGAAAGAAAGAAAAAAGAAAAUAAAAAAUAAAUUUAAAGUUAAUAAAUUAUUUUUAUAUACUUUUUUAAAUUGAUUUCACUUAAUUUCUUCUAUUGUAUAAGGAUUAAAUAAUUUUAAAAUGCAUAAAAUUCUAAUUAAUUUUAAUUUUAAUUUUUUAUUUUCCAUGAAACCAAAUAUGAGAAAAUCAUUUUCCUUGGUAUUUUUUUUCUCUCAUUAUUACUUUCCGGAGCCAAACAUAGCCUUAAGAACUCGUUUUAACUGAUUUUGGGAUAAAUGGUUUGAGUGACCCCUAAUUUCUUUCUUUUCUUUUUUUUAUCUCAAUUUCAGUCCAAUUCCUUGCUGAAAUUUGAAAACCAAACCGAAGUCCAAACUCUAAGCAUUAAGAUGUUGUAUGCUUAUGCAAUUUAAUGAGCAUCAUCGUAGUCUAAUUGCAGUUUGAACACUUCCACUUUACAUUCAUACACCGAUGGCCUGAUAUAUGUGAUUCGCUAUUUUAUAUGUGUAUUAAUGUUUGAUUCCUUUGAUUUAUAUUGACGAAUUGAGGGAAAGCAAGUUAGAGACUUGGUGGUGGAAAUCCCCAUUUGAUUGAGAGAUCUGGACAAAAAUGAGGAAGCUUAAAAUGAAAAAUCAUUAACUGCAGAGGAGGAAUGCAAUCGAUGCUCUGUUUUCCAUAGUAUUUCAAAUGCAUUUAUUUUGUUUCUUGUUGUAUUUAUAUGUUGCUAUUUGUUUUUAUUGACCCUUUUGAUAGUUUUUAGCAUGUCUAUAAAUGAAUCUGCUUCUGUACUUAUUUUCUUUCUAUUAUCAUCUGGUUUCAGAUGAUAAAUUUAUGAGAGGAAGUUGUGGUUCAUAAAUGCCCAAUUAGGAUCAGGUACACAGUUUGGUGUGGGAAGUGUGUUUUUAGUGUCAACAAUGAAAAUUUUAGUCUUGGAGGACAAAUAUCUCGGAAAAAUAUGCUUCAGGAAGGUGUUAGGGAAUGAAGGGUAAUUUUUUAGGUGCAAUUGGAUUCUAAAGAUAUCGGAGUUUUUUGGCCACAUUGUAUGUAUGUCAACUAAGCUUUAUGUUAAGAAGUCAACAAGCUGGUAGUUUGGUUCCAUCUAAAUAGUGAUCUGGGAUUGAAUUUUAUUCGUAGGUAGGGAAGAGAACAACCAUUAUCCAGCCAUGCUAAUAAGUUCUUGCUUUUUCCAUUGAUUCAUUCUAGAUGAUAGAUUAAGGAGAUUUGAUUUAUGCAGAAGAUGUCUUUCUGGAUGGAGUUUUAUUGAAUCUGUUUUUUUAUAUUUCUUAUCUGAAAAUCAUAAAAUUGUAGGGCCAUGAGUACUGUUGCUACAUCGAGUUUGCUUUCACGCAUUUGUUUUUCAAUGUGAUUUUCACCUGUCCCUUACCUUGGAAUUGUGUUUGAAUUAAUCUUGCUGUUUCUCAUUUUGUUCACAUUGAAGGAUAGCAAUGGAUCAUCAAGGGCAUGGACAAACCCCAGUAAUGGGAAUGGCUGGUAGUGCAGCUCAGUUGCCAUAUGGGACAAACCCUUAUCAACAUAACCAAAUGGGUGGAACCCCUACUUCCGGAUCAGUAGUGACAUCAGUUGGGACCAUUCAGUCUCCAGGGCAUCCAGCAGGGGCUCAGCUUGCACAACACCAGCUUGCUUAUCAGCAUAUGCACCACCAGCAGCAACAGCAGCUACAGCAACAACUCCAGUCUUUCUGGGCAAAUCAGCAUCAAGAAAUCGAGAAGGCUACUGAUUUUAAGAACCAUAGCCUUCCCUUGGCAAGAAUCAAGAAGAUCAUGAAGGCAGACGAGGAUGUAAGGAUGAUAUCAGCCGAGGCACCAGUGGUAUUUGCUAGGGCAUGUGAAAUGUUCAUUUUGGAGUUAACUUUGCGCUCUUGGAAUCACACAGAAGAAAACAAAAGGAGGACUCUGCAAAAGAACGAUAUUGCUGCAGCUAUCACAAGGACUGAUAUCUUUGACUUUUUGGUUGACAUUGUGCCAAGAGAGGAUCUCAAAGAUGAAGUACUCACGUCAAUCCCAAGAGGAACCAUGCCAGUUGGGGGGGCCUCUGACACAGUCCCUUACUACUAUAUGCCUGCUCAACACUCGCCUCAGGUUGGCACGCCUGGGAUGAUCAUGGGCAAGCCUGUUAUGGAUCCUGCUUUAUAUGCCCAACAGCCUCACCCCUACAUGGGUCAAUCAAUGUGGCAAUCACAGGCACCACAGCAAGAGCAUUCACCCUCAGAUUCUUAGCGGCUGCAGCACAUGAGUGAAGGAAGAGGGUAAGAGCUCUAUCCCUCUUGAUCAUAUUAUGAUUGAAGGCUGAAAAUCAAAGCAGUUGUUUGGCAGUUGGUCUAAUUGCUUGUGCUGCAAUAUUUUCUGCUCACUGUUGAAAACAUAGUAUGUUUAGUCUCAUAACCUUACAUUUUCAAUGCAAAUCUUGGAUGGUGAUGGUGUGGUUGAUCAAGUCUAGUAGCAUCCCAUAUUUUGUUACUAAUACGUAUGUUGGAUUUGUUAGUUCAACACCUUAGUACUUAUUGCAUAAAUGAUUUCCAUGCCUCACCCUUUUUGGUGUGAUAAGUGCGGCCCAGUCUAACUCAACCGUAAUUCAUUCGUUUUGUCUGUUGAAAUGAUGGAAUUUUUCCACAAUUCCUGAUUAUCCAUGUUCAUUUUUGAAAUUGAGAGCAAUCUCAACAGGAGAGUACUUCUCAUUUUUUUCAAACAAAAUCAUGCUCAAAUGAUUGUCAGACCAUGUUUAGGGCGAAGGAUUUUCUCACGAACCUGUAAAACAAUUUUUUUUCCCUCAUGUUCUUCAAGGAUGGCCUGUGAGGAUCAUAGUUUGAGCUCUUUGUUCUUAUUGUUUUGCUUUGGUUUUGCAGAAUUUUGGUUCAUCAAAGCUUCUGGUGAACUCUGGCAGAAUGAAAGUAUAGGCCUUCUCUACUAAUGAACGAUCAAGAUGCAAGCUGAAGAAAAGCAUACUUUUGUAAAGAAAAUGCUUGAACAUGGCAGCUGAUUUUGAUUGAAUCUAUCCCUUUUUUUUUUGGUGGUAGAAUCUUACAUUUCCAGUCAGUAAUGUAUUUAUAUGUCUACCUUCAGCUGCUCUAGAAUGAAACUGUAGUUUUGUUCUUUACGCUACUGCUCUUUUUCCCUUUAUUUUAGCUAUCAUAUCUCUACCAGCUAUGGUUUGUUUGAAUAGUGUUGAGUUUCUUCUUGCAACAGAAAACAAGUCUCUGAAAUUUUGGACUGCUGGUGACACUGAGUAUUUGUUGCAGCCGAGAUGAACGAGCAAUGGCUCCCUUUCUGGUUAAUUCUUUCACCAUGAUUGAGAAUAAGGAGGAUUUCACUAUAUUUACUGCCAAUUUUUCUAUAUGUUCUGUUUGGUUGUCAAGAAAGUUAUAAAAAAUCCUGGGGUCACUUCAAUCUCAGCAUCUUGUAAGAUUCUAAGCUGAGGGGACAAGAUUCUACACCAUCCACAGUUCACUCCAAACACCCUUUCAGGGGAAUGGAGGUUACAGAAUAUAUGAUCAUCAAUCCACUGUUUUCCAGGAACAGAAAGAAAAUUGCCAUGGAAAUAGUAAAACUAGUCACUUUCUUAUGGUUUGUUGAAUUAGCAUUUCUAGCAGGAUUGAAGAGCCAGAAGAAUUCAACAAGGCAUCAGUUCAACUUCUCCAUUGGCAAUCCAGUGUCACAGAAAUGACAGAGAAGAGGCCUGGGUGGCAAAGAUUCAGUCGUCAUACCAUCUCUGUCAUUCUCCCUUGCUUUUCAUCGUGACAAAGGGUUCCACUUGCACCUGAAAACAAAUGAAAUUAUAAAUGGAAACAAUCUCCAUCACUUUAAUAACCCAUGAUCCAUGCUUGUGUACCACCAACCUUCGAUUGGUGAAAACUACUCCUGGAGCAGGGGCUAUGCUUGUAGCCUUGCGUGUAAAGAACAAAGUGGACUUCAUCCAUGGAUCAAUUAUGAACUCUUCAACCUGCGACCUAUGGAAUCAUUGAAACAACAUGGUAAAAUCUUAGAUCCUCACUUCUUUAUCUUAAGAUUUGGCCAACAUUGUUAUUUACAUAGAUGUGGGUGUCAACAAGAAGUCCAAUAACUCCUGACUCAUCUCAAACCUCAAAUCAAGUAGGUAGCGACUCUUCCACUACUCUUCUCUUUGAUAUUUGUUCAAACUAUUCUUUUCAUAUUACCUUUUGGAUAUUAGACAGUGGUGCAACAAAUCACAUUAUGGGGUCUAUUACCCUUUUUUCUUUUAUAACAUUUACACCUAUGACUCCUAUUGGUACUAUUUCAUUAUCUUCAUCCCUUACCUAUCAUUUUUAUUUUUAACAUUAAAAUUAUACUCGAAAAGUUAUUUUAUCAUUUUUCAUCUAAAAUUAAUCAUAUUAUUAAAAAAUAUUAUUGAAGUUUGACACAAAUAUAAACAAAAAUAAAGAAAUAAUAAAAUAUACAUUCGUAAAUCAAAUGUCAAAUUCUUUUUGAUGGAAUGAGGAUUUUUAAGUUUGAGUCACGUUCUUUUUAUAUAUUAUUUUUUUGGCAUAUUUUAUUAUUUUUACUAAAUAGGUAAAUAAAUGGAAAAAAAAUUGUGAUAAAUACCGUAAAAAUACCAUUAUUUUUUAAAUUUAAAUAAAAAAUAUUAAUUUUAAAUUUUACUAUAAUUUUAGGAUUUUACCUUUUUCAUUUCUUAUUUUCACUAUCUCCCUUCUCGCUCAAAAUAAAGGUGUACGAUGAAAUUUUAAACUUAUCGGAAAAAGAUGUAUUUAGUUAAAAAUUAAGGAGUGAAUCAUCGUAACCCUAAAAAUUACGAUGACCUAAGCUUUUAUUUAUUUAUUUAUUUAUUCAAGUCAAUAUCAGCUGGCGUGGACUGUUUUGAACUCAACCCACCUCUCUUCAACGUUACAAAUCCGGGAUCUUUCUGCACACAUUCCGACCACUCUCUCAUCACCUCGCCGCUGCAACUCGUAUCCGUACAGUUUCCGAUGGAAUCUACGGCCGGGUACUCUCAAGCUUCUCCUUCCUUCCUCUCUUUCACGAUCUUAGAUAUCAAUAGCUUCCGGUAUCAUUUACUUUGGAUUUUUGUCUAUUGAAUACUUGGCUCCCUGGCUUAUCCAAUUUCAAUGAUUUUUUUUUUUAAAUAUAUUUGUCGCUCUCUAUAUGGAGUAGGCGAUCACCGUUAGGGUUUUGCUAUUAUUUACUGUACCGGCUGUAGAGUUUGCUUUGCUGUUGUGCAAAGUGUUCAAAUAGGUAUGACCCUUAUUCUGUGUUAAAUGUUAUACUUCUUUCGUUCAUGUAUUUGAGAUUGUUUUAGUAUGCUUCCAGUACUUUCAGAAGCACCUUCUUUGUUUUGGUUCGACUGUGAUUAUGGUUAUGGUUGGACGUAUUGGCAGAAUACUAAAAAUAAUCUCAAGGAGUAACCAUCGUUAGAAGAUGGGAUGUAGGUCAAAGCUUUAGGUUUGGAUGGGUUCUCAAUGGCCUUCUGGCAAUUCAAUUGGGAUUUUGUGAAUGAUGGGGUGAUGGAUUUUCAAGGAGUUUUCCGAGUGAGGCAGGUUUGAGAAAAGUCUUAAUGCUACAUUUUUUGUGCUAAUCCCAAAGAAAGGGGUGCGGAGAAUCUGAAGGACUUGAAGCCUAUUAGUUUGAUGGGUGGUGUGUGUAAGAUUCUAGCGAAAGUGUUGGCAAAGAGGUAAAGUGGUGGGGAAAGUAAUCUCCAAAUCCCAUAAUGCUUUUGUGGAAGGAAGGCAAAUCCUUGAUGCAGUGCUCAUGGUGAUAGUGAUGCUUGUGGUCUCUUGUGUAAGUUAGACAUAGAAAAGGCAUAUGAUCACAUUAAUUGGAGUUUUCAGUUCUGUAGAAGAUGAAUUUUGGUCAGAAAUGGAUAUAAUGGAUUAAAUGGUGCAUAUCUUCUACAAAGUUUUCUGUGCUUACUAAUGGCAUCUCUUUUGGUUUUUCUCAAAACUCAAUGGGUUUGAGUCAAGGGGAGCUUCUAUCUCCUUAUUUAUUUAUAGUAGCAAUGGAGGCUCUUAGUUGUCUUCUUAAAAGGGUCAGGGAGGGACGUUAGCUAUUAGGAGUUAGAGUGAGGGGAGUAGGUGUCCCAUUUGUUGUUUGUAGAUGAUAUUUUUGUUUUUUUGUGAGGCUUCUCGAGAUUAGAUGGUUCAUUUAAGCUGGAAGCUCAUGUGGUUUGAAACCAUAUUGAGUUUGAAAAUUAACUCAUAAAAGAAUGAGUUGCUUCCGAUUGGAAGGAUGGAGAAUGCAGGGAAGUUGGCCUAGAACUGGGGUUCAAAGUAUGAGGGCUUUCAUCCACUUACAUGGGUCUUCCCUUGGGCGUACCUAUCAAAUCAGUGGUGACUUGGAUAGGUGGAAAGAGCGGUUUAUGGAAAAGACAAUAAAUCUCUAAGAUGAGAGGAUUAUGUUAAUCAGGAGCACAUUAUCCAAUUUGCGCAUAUACUCUAUGUCAUUGUUUAGUAUUAUGAGGAAAGUUAGAUUGAGGUUUGAGAAGAUUUAAAGAGAUUUCCUCUGGAAAAGAGAGGCUUUGGAGGAAACCGCAUUUAGUGAAGUGGUCUAUUGUUUGCUUGGAGAAGAGUAGGGGGGGAUUGGGCAUUAGAGGUCUUUCUUCACUUAAUAAGGCUCUUUUGUGUGAAUGGAUUUUGUUUAUACUAGAGCUUCCUUUUUUAUGGAAUAUGGAAAAAUGAUGGAGUUUUGGAAGGAUAGGUGGUGUGGGAUUAUCUUUUGUGUGCUUCUUUCCCAUUGUUCCAUGCUUUGGUCAUAUCACAAAGAGAUUUGGGUGGCAGAUUUAUGGGACUAGACAGGUGAGAGGGGUCAUUGGAACCCUUGUUUUGCUGGAGGUUUAAACAAUUAGGAAUUGGACAAUGUUGACGAAUUCUUCUCUAGAUUGUAAGGAAUGUUGAUCAAUAGUGAGGGGGAGGACAAGGAGGUAUGGAUGGAUUCAAGGAAUGAGAGUUUUUUUCAUUGUCUUGAAAUGUUGUCUUAGGAUAAGUUGGAAUCCAUGGGUACCAACUUCAAUCAAUCAGUCCUCUGGCCAUACUUAUUUUCUGCAAUUUUUUAUUAAGUACCAACUUCAAUCCUUUUAUAAGUUUUCCAAAAAAGAUGCCAUCAAUCAUUCUAGAACAUAGAAAUGCAGUAUUUACCAGAAAUGUCAGUGAACAUUGAGAUUGCAUGCCUGAAACUAUAGUUUCAUCCUUGAAUUCAAUCAAGUCUCAAGAUAGUAGAGAUGAAUCUAGAUUCUUGGUUUGAAAUAGAAUUGCAACCUAUGUAUAAGGACUAUUCACAUGAGUGAGUGAAGCGGGUGGAAAAAAAAAACAAUUUUAGAGGAUGAGAUUUACACUCUUCUAACAUUGGGGUAAGAUGGGUUUUAGCUGGUGGGCUCAUUAAUUCCCUGAAAUGGCACAUUAUAAACUGUUAGCUGGUGGGCUCAUUAACUCCCUCAAAUGGCACAUUAUAAACUAGUUUUAAAUGUGAAAGGGUGUGACCCUUUUCUUUCUCUCCCCAUAAUUUAUGGAAGGUGAUUGAAUGCACUUUGGUAAAAUGUAUAAAUAUUCUCUUCAUAUUUGGAAAUCUCCUAGUUUUAAUUUGUAACUAAUAAUAAAAGAGGAUAGAAUUUAAUUUUUAUUUACAUUAGGUUUUUCUUGUUUUUAUCAAUUAUAUUGCCUUUUUCAAGUACCCUUAGCUUUAUUGGGUUUUAAUUGAUAUUUUUGACAGUUAGCCUUACAGGAAAAAUGGGAAUAAAUGAUAAGAAACCUUUUAGAUUCCUAAAAUAACAUUCUUACAUAGAAAUUUUCGAUGUUGUCGAUUAUGGAAUCCCAUGGGAGCAUCUUACGGUAAUAUUGGGCUUAAGAGAGGUUGUGCUUUUGGUGGUGGUUUCUCUUUGUUCUUGGGUGCUCUUUCAGGCUGGUUAUCUUGGGGUUGGUCAGUUAGUUAGGGUGGUUGGUGUUUGCUUUCUCUUCAUUUUGCUUGCCCUAUGGCCAUUUUUGUAUACUCCAUGUGUGCUCUGUUGCGCCAUUUUGCGAGCACUUUUAAUAUAUUCUCCUUUUUUGCCUAUCAAAAAAAAAAAAGGCUUAAAUAGGAUAAUAGAGAUCAUGCUAAUGGCCAUAGUUUUCAUGAUUCUUGAUAUCUGAUGUAUAGCUGUCUAUAGAUGUUUAUACCUAACCUUUUGUGGUAAUCCAAGUGCUGAUUGGUUUUACUGGACACCUAAUACGAUUCCAUGCAUAUCUUUGAUAUUUAUUAAGGUGAUAUUUGUGUUAGACAAUAUUUACUUCUAAAAAUAAAUUUAAUUGGUGGAAUACACUUGAAGUGGUGGAACAAACAUGUUUUUGCAUUUAUAUUUUCUUUUUUGAGGAAUUUAACUGGUUCCAACCUAUUCAAGAAUGAAUAUAAUCCAGAGUCAUCUGACAAACUACAUGGGACUGCAAACAUUUUGUGUUGGAGUUACAUUUUGUAUGAUUUGAUGCUCUGAUCUGUGAUGUUUCUGCUUAGCUCUUCGCAACCAGAGAAAUCUCUGGGGCAUUCAAGAGACAUUGUUUGAAGAUUAUGCAUAUAGUUAAAUAAUAGUAGAAGAUUGCUGCUUACAAAGUGCUCAUUGAAUUGCUCCAGAUUUAAAUCCAAAACACUCAAAUGAUCACAUGCAAAACAUGGGUAGAAAGAAUAAAUAUUGAGACAUGUAUUUCAUCAUAGGAUUAGUGCUUUGUUUUGACUUUUGCUCUCUCUAAGCUUACAAUCUCUUGUCUAAGUAGGAAAGAUGAAUAUUUGUCACUAAAGCUUGAACUCAUCAACAAAGGAAAAUUUGCUUUUUUGAAUAAUAAUACUUUUUUCAUUCAGAAUUUAACGCACCAUAUUUUCAAUCAUGGUGUACUUCCAGGCCUUCUCAUAUCCAUGGAACAAAAAAAAAAGAACCAAAACCUGUUGGUCCUCAGCCGCAAGUACUUGCCGUGGCCCCUCUCAAUAGCAUGCCAUAUAUUGGCCCUGAUAUGUCCUAUUCAUUGCCAACUGAAGCAGAUGGUGGGGCUCCACAAAGAGUUAGGCCAGAUAUAAUAUUUAUGCCUUUUGGCCCAAUGGAGGAAGAGCCAGAUAUAGCUGUCACGAAAAAUGGAGUUGGGCUGACAGGGAGUGCAGCCAUGGGAAAGGUGGGAUCAAGUUUUGGACUGGUUGACAUUGGUGAGUUUGAGGAUUCAUAUCUAUUCCGUGUGUCCCUCCCAGGGGCGGCAAGAGAUGAAAGUAAGUUGCAAACUGCAACUAGCAUUUCCUUAGUUACUAAAUCAAAGUUGCUUUCUAUUGUCAUAAGAGUUUUAAAUGAUAGAUAAAUUCCUUUUAAUCUGUUGUUGAAGGAUCACCCAUAGUUAAAUCAACAUGCUUACCUUAUUUACAAUUUUAUAGAAAGAACCAUAAUUCAAAAUGUUUUAUUCAACAUCAAAUGCCCUAUUACAUUGUUGACCCCACUACCAGUUCUGAUCACUGACUUUGCUACUGCAGGAAGAUUCAGUUGUGAUAUUAAACCUGAUGGCAAUAUUUUGAUAAAGGGGGUAACAACAACAGGUGAGAAAAUAGUGUGCAGGAACUUCCAAAUUUUUAAAAUGCAAACCCAAAAUCUAUGCCCGCCAGGGCACUUUUCUAUCUCGUUCCAGCUGCCAGGUCCAGUUGAUGAUCAACAAAUCUCUGGUGGUUUUGGAAUUAAUGGGAUUUUUGAAGGGAUCGUGAAGAAAAGAUAACCAAAAAAAGUACUUGGUCAGCAUACACCUGCCUAAAAUGAGGACCAUGCAUCGGUAAGAGGAUUCAAAUUGAACACACCACAAAGACAUGGGGAAAUUGAAGAGAAUGUUGAUCUAAGUGGUGAAAAGAGACAUGAUUGCUUAUGAUUCAACAUAAAAUAUGGACUUGAACCGAGCUGAAGAAAAUAGCAUUCACUGAGCCAACUCGAGCCAACUUUAAUCAUUGGAAUUUGCAGAGGUUUUGUUGAGUUAAACAUAUACUAAUUUUUGAUAAAUUUUUAGAUGGAAAUUUUAGUACUUUAAUUUACUAUCAUUUUCAUCUGUUUGGGAUAUAAUGAGUUUUGAGAAUUGAGUCUUUUGUCUUAAACUUGUUUUAUCCCUAUAUUAGAGUUGUAUGAAAAACUUAUUUUUCUCAGGAUGUACAUUCAAAGGAAUGUUUUGAGCAUGAAUUAAGAUUGGGAUAUUCUUUACCUUUGCUUUACAAGUAUUGUAGUGAAGUUGUGAAAACUUUAUUAAUUUCUUUUAAUUUUGUUGAAGUUAUGGAAAGUUUAUCAAUUCCUUUUCCUUUUUUUAAUCAAAAAAACUAUUUUAUUGCAUUUAAAUGGUAAGUAUAAAGAAGAAUGUAUAAUUUUUCCUGCAAUUUUAAAUUCUUCUACACAAAGUUUGAUAAAAAAAAUGAAAAUACUAAUCCAAAAGACAAAUCUAUCUACACUAGUCAAAAUGGUUAGGACAAACUCGAUAUAGUUCAAGAAGACAAAAAAAUCUCUUCAAAAAAAAAAAAAAAACGAAAUGUCUUGCGACUCUUGCCCCAUGUUUUACUAAUGCUUUCACCACACCAUUGCCUAAGUGACAAAUCUUAUGGAAGGAACAUCUCACCUUUGAAGGAAUAUCAAUAAUUUGGCCUAACCAUUCAUCAAAUUUCCAUGAUCCUCUUCUUUCUUUGUUGCUCAUGAUUUGAUUAUAGCAUAAUCUCCUUCUACUUGGAGAUUGAAGAGGCCUAAAGCUUUAGUCUGCAACAAAUCCUCCAAAAUGUUUAGAAUCUCUACCUGAAUGGCUGAAACCUGACUAGCAGGUUUGGAGAAAGCUACUACCACUGUCCCAAAGUAGUUGUUGAGCAAUCCUCCAUUCCUAGCUGCCAUGGGUUACCCAAAGAACACCCUUCAAAAUUUAGCGUAAAGAAACUUACUAAAAGUGGUAAACAUUCAGGUAGUGUCUCCUUAAUCAACCUCAUGGUUCUACACACUAGGUUCUGAUCAAACACAAUGAGCUGAAAUUUGUACUUGAAAAAGCUUCAUUAAUAGAAUCCUGAUAGGGAAAAGUGUAAAACAAGUCCCAAACUGCUUCCAAAUCUUCUAUAUAUCCUAAAAAUUUCUUAUAUUUGUUCUCUGCCAAACAGUCCAAAUCAGAGUGAGGCUAGUAAUACACCAAUCUUACCUCAAUGAAGACCCCCAAAACCUUUAAAGGAUAUGAUCAACAAGGAAGUCCCCCAAGGUUGGAGGGCAGUGUAAAAAAACAUGACCAACAGAUUCCUACUCCCCCUAUAUAUGACCUACUCAAGCCCAUCCCAUUUGUUUACAAACCUUUUGACCUGAACCUAUCCCUUCCCUUCUAUUGCUGAUUAUCUCUUUUGGAAGGAAUAGCAAGAGGAAAGAUUGGGGUAAUCUUGCUUAUGAUUGUUUUGUAGGGUUAACUUUUUUUUUUUCUAUAGGCAAACAAAAAUCAUUAACAGCUCCCAGGAAAAAGGCCACCAAAGGACAUAGGACUUAUACAACAACAUGGAACCCAUAUCUAUAUAUCUCCUAGAUUAUAAAGAAUUUGCAAUGUUACUAUAAGCAUUGAAAUACUUCUUGGCAUAGAUACAGCUUCGAGGGGAAGGUUUUUGGUGAUUCUCGGUAAUGCAAUUAUCCCAUAGUGUUCUUUGUGGCAUUUCAUAACAGCCAUUUUGUUAGCAUAGGCUAUAAGAAAGAUGUUUUGUUUUAAGUUGUGUAUAAGACAUUAUUACUUAAGCAUUGGUGGAACUGACCAAAAUAUUCUAGAAACAGUGCUCUUUUUUUAUUGGCAUAGCAUUGUGGGACAACUAUAUUUUCAUAGCAACAGAGAAGACCAUAGUGACUUUUACUUUGUUGUUCAUCAUAUUAUCCCCAUUCAUACUGUUCACAGUACAUAUUGACAUAUUCAUGAAAAUUUUCACACAAGAAUAUGGGUUCCCUGAUUAGAGUUUCAUUUAUUUUUGUUAUAUUGUAUCUUUAAAUGAUCUCCGUUAUAUUAGUUUUAUUUCUUGAAAGCAGUUUCCUUUCAUCUGUUUUUGGACCAAUUGGAAGAAAGAAACCUGAGCAAAGCUUAGGGCUAACUGAAAGCUUUUUGAGAGGUAAUAAGCAAAGUUCCAGUUUUGUUUCACUUGUUCUGGGAUUAUUUGGAUGAAAGAAACGUGAUUACAAAUUAGAACUAGUCAAAAGCUUUUGGAGAAACAAUCGGCUUUGUCAUAAAGACAGUUUUUCUUUUUCUUCUUUGGGAGAUUUUUUAUAUAAACUUUUUUCCUGGAUACGUGAAAAGUUUUUGGCAUAUUUUUACCUGUGCCAACUUAAAUUUGUCUAAGGGAGUGCAGUAUGCUGGUAGCUUAGUUCCAUCUAAAUCAUUCUUUAUGUCUUCAUUCUCUUUUUGGUCAACACUUUUAUGCUUCAUAUAAAAAAGAAUCUACAGAGUUGAACUGGGAUUGCCUGUCAAAAACUAUAAUGAAAAAAAAAGUUGAAGUGGGAUCAAGAUCUGUUCUUAUGUAGGGAACAGAACAACCACCACCAAUACUCCCAAGAUAAAGCCAGCCCAGGCCAGGGCUUUGCUAUGCAUUUAAGUGCCCCUCAUGUAUGUAAAGAAAAGAUUUGUCUGGAGGGGAAUUAUUUAUGGGCAGUUUUGUCUUGGUAGCCGAUGGUUGAAAGGGUCUUGGAUUAUAGAUCCCAUAAGGGUGUUGGGUUGCCUUCUCUCAUGGAAGUCUAUGGAUUGGAAGCUGGCCAAUGGAGGAUCCUUUUAUCUAGUUGAUUUCAUUGGGGAUUUUAUGCCUUCUUGAGUCUUGUUGGAUGGUUCCCUGGGUUUGGCAAACCAAAGGUUUCUG
rnacentral:lncRNA from 1 species